AAUAUUAUACCUUUUGCUGUCUCUCUCUUUCCAAUCGUAGUUGUUCAGCAAAGCUCAGCCUCUCAGCAACCUAGGAAAAAAAUACGUUAUGAAGUUACAUGUUUUAAUGUACGCAAGCUGAUUAUAAUAGUUGUGUUAAGCAAUAAAUAAAAAAGUUUGAUCAAGGGGUUUCGAAGAAAGCUUACAUAAUGAUCAAAUUCAGAACGUUCCACAGCCCGUACAUCGCUAUGAAGAACAAGAUCAAUUGGUUCAGUGCUCUCUUUAAUAGGAGGCUUCACCAAACACUGGGAAUAAAAUGGUGAAUUUUAGAGAUCAGGACUUGAGUCUUAAUACGAUAAGUUUACUCUUUUCAAAGAACAAUUGAGGUCAAAAUAAAAAGCGAAACAUAGUCUUAGUAGUUUUCAUUUUGGGGCCACAUUAAUGUAUAGAAUAUCUGCUAGUCCUAUAUCUCCAUUUGUUGCAAGCAAGAAGAUGAACUAAAUAAUAGGAAAAAAGCAUUUCUCUGUAGCUUUGCUUAAGUGGGAGCAAAAUGCAAACAUCUGGCUUUCUUCAUGUGUUACAUCAGCUCAGACACCUACUGCUAUAAUUGUAAAGUAAAAAUGGCAGGCAAUUAGUUUUUCAAGGUAAUUUUCGUGCUGCAAACAGUUUUCACUUAAAUAAAAGAAAUAACAAAAGUGAUCAACCAAAAAAUGUCCUUUAUUGUCAUGAAUUCAAGUUUAAUCAUUUCAUUAAAUAAUUAUGUGAUACUCUAUAGAGCUCAUAACUCACAAUAUUAUAGAUUUUAUAAAGCUAAAGCAAGAAGAAAGAGCACCUCUGGUUCAUCUGUAGUCCAUGGAAGUCCUUGCGCAAUAGGUAUGCGUUUCUUUUCCUCCUCCCAAAGCAUCUCUUUAACUUUCUUUAGGAAUUGCUCUUCCUUGAGCCUCCCUCUUUGCUGUUAAAUAAAAAAUAUAUAUUAAUCAAUUUCUUGAAUUUGUGUAACACAAAAUUUUCGCAUUAGUCACAGGACAAGAUUCCUCAUCUUGUGUUCCACUAACGGCAGGCAAUAACACUAUAUGAAUACUUUUUAUUCAAGUCGAAUAACAAAAGAAAAUUGCGAAUAUGAGACUUUUAGUCAACAAGCAAAUUGAAGAUCAUUUGAGCUUUUGAAGGUGCAUUCGCAUUGGAAAGAUCUAUUACAAACCUGAUUGACUAAUUGCACCCGUAGAGUUGAGCUUGAGACAUGAGGAAAAUUUUCAGGCAAGGUAAAAUAUUAUAGCAAAAUUGCAAUAGGAAAUUUGUAAUCUAUUCCAUCAGAGUUUUGCAGAAAAUAGUACUUGCUUAGAUUUUCUGAUUAAUGACAUCUUGCAGCUAUAAGAUUGACGGGUAAAUGAAUGACGAAAAAUGGAAGAAAAAUAGAACAAAAAAAAUACUGAUAGGUGAUGAUUACGAGUUCAAUUGUCAUGAUAAAAGGAGUGCUGAGGACUGAUUUAUAUACAACUGAUUAAACAAGGGGAACACGAGUGGUUAAACAGUUCGCAGACAUUUUGAAAUGCAGAUUACAGCAUUUUUUAAUGUUAAAAACUGUAGGCUCUAUGAACUUCAGCAGUAUUGCAUAUUCUCCCAUGAUCAAAUUUCAAACUACAGUCUCCAUCUUAAAUGUUGGGCUAUCUUAUCACUUUGUCCAUCCAUCCAAAAAAAAGUAUUGCUCCUUAUCUCUUUUAUGGACAGCUAAGUUUAUUAACAUACCUUUUUGAUUCUCGUUUAGAAUAGAUUGUGGUGACAAUAUCUUUAAGUAUUACACAUGAUAAUACUAUCUCGUUGUUAUUUUGCCUUGUCCUCUUCUCCUUUUUUUUUUUUUUUAAAGAAUACAUGAACCGCUAAUUUGCUUCUUCAUCUGAUAAAAAUUGUAAUGAAAUUUUACCUUUGAGAUUCUCAUAUAAACCUUUUUCACGAGUCACAGUGAAUGAUGCCCUCAAGAGAGUAACUUGUUAAGAUAUUUUAUAUAUUCCUCACCGGUAUCAUGUAUACAUAAUGUUGUAAUUGGUCAUAAUAAAAUUAAAGUACUUCAUAACUCGACCGUUCAUUUCGAUCAAACCAUCAUACCAUACUCUCAAAUUACUCUACCAAUCAGUAAAAGGUGCGGAAAAUAUAAAACCAUCCAAUUUCGACUCUCGAGUUCUCCAAUUUUUGCAGCAUCCCAUCGCCUAAUCUAUCAUAAAACAUCAAUGAUUCCUAGCAUCUUUCUAUAGUUUGUUGCUACUUGUUUAUCAACCACUAAUCAUGAUAAAAAAUUCACAUAAAGAGAAAGAGAGAUAGGCUAAAUGUUUAAGAUUAUGUUUAAUACCUCUGUCCUCAGCUUAAAUGGAUGUUGGCUGGUCACCUUGAGCUUCUUGUUCCAGCUCCUCCUCAACGACUCGAGGCUCUGAACAACACAAUCACUUUAUUCAAUUCUAGCAUUGGAAAAUCACAGCAAACCAUAAAGAAAUUUUUUUCUUUUUGAACGCAGCAAAUUUAAUAGUCAUCUUUAUUGUUACAUUUCGCCUACUCCGACGGCCUCCGCUCGAUGUCCUGCUGCCCUUGCUCAAUCUAAAUAUCCAAAUGAAAAAAAAAGAUUAAAAUUUAUGAACAAGCUCCAAUCUGACCAAAUCGUAAGCAAAAAAAUCGGUUCUUUUCUCUACCACAUCUCAUUCUAACCUGUCGUAAUUGCUAUCCAUUGAAGAGUAACCCCUAGAAUCCCUUUCGAAAUCUUUCGACGUGAAGAACUCGGCAGAAGAGGUAACGGAAACGGAAUCUAAUCCAUUCUCCAUGGCCUUUAUCCUUUGCCCUAAUCCAGGCAAUGCCCAAUUCAUCGUCUUAAUCUUCCUAUUAUCCGCCUCCUUCUCCUUCUCAUCCGAAACUGAGAGGAGGCUCUCGAACGCCUGAACCAAAUGCUUCACUCGCCCCGAUCCCGGAUCUGGUAUACUGCUCAUGGCCUCCUCCAUAACCAAACUCCUCAUCUUCCUCACAUUCGAACUCCCCUCCAAAUCCCUAGUCCCCGAUUCCUCCUCCUCGCUCUUCUCUGUGAGGCAUUUCGCCGAGCACAUCUCGGGUUCCUCGACGGGCGGGGGAUCCUUCUUGAAGAACCCUUCCUGGGAGGCGCGGAGGGCCUCGUAGGCUUCUCGGCGGCACUUCUCGAUAUCGAAUCCGUUUCCGCCGCCUCCGUUCGAGCCCUUCUUCUUCUUCUUGGCGAUGAUGAACUUUCGCUCCCCAGGCGGCGGCGGCGGGGGGGCCAAGAUCGCUCGGGCAGGGUUUCUGGGGGCCGAUUUGGCAUUGCUCUUCGCCGAUUUAGCCGUAGAUGGGGAUUUGAAGGGCUUUUGGGAUGGGGGAGGAGAGGAGAUGGGGAUGUUGGGGUCGGAAUUCUCGGAGACCUUGAAGAUCUCGGAGGAGGAGGUGGAUUUUGAUCUGGCGUGGCGAGGGGUCGUCGUCGUCGUCGUCGUCGUCGUCUUCUUGGGGGUCGCCAUUGUUAGGGUUUCUCAAGGUCGGAGAGGUAUAGAGUUUCAAUCUUGAGAAGAGGUGUGUGUUAUUGGAGAAGAGAGGGGGGAGAGAUAGGGGGGAAGAAGGCGAUGGGAAAAGUGACCGUUGGAGGUAACGGCUAGUUCGCGUAUGUGGAAAUUUGAACGGGGGUUUGCCAGUAGCCGUUCGAUCCUGACGGUGCUUUAAGAUUCGGGAGGGAGCGGGUUUUGUACAUGCCUUCACGCAACAAAAGGGGUUCUAUUGGGAAAAUACGGCAUUUAAUUUCUUUUAUUUUGUUUUAAUUUGUAUUUCUUUAAAUAUUUAAAUACAGUAAGUCAUUUUUUAAAAAAAAGUAAAGUAAAUUUUUUUUAAACCACCGAAUAAUAAAAUGUAGAUUAUACGGCAGUAAUGUAAAAUAUUUAUGUUACUUUAUUAUUUUCGUAGCAGUAGAUCUUUAUAAAUGAAAUAAAAAUAAAACAACAGAACAACUAAGUGUAAUUUUUUUUUUUUAAAUUGUUUGGUGAUAAAGUAAAAAUGCGUUAAAAUUUAGGAUGAAUUGAAGUUUAAUCGAAAAUAUUUUUUUGAUGGCUACUUUGCCUUUAGGCUUUCUUGGAAGGUUAUAUUAUAUUUGGAUAUGCAAGUUUUUUUGUGUGAAUGAAAUUGACUUAUAUUUGAUGAACUUAAGUGAAAUAAAUUUGAAGUUCAAAAUUUGUCUUAGACCGUGUUUUUUUUCUUUUUCUUUUUUUUUGAGAGAUAGGCAGCACGCUACCCGCUUCGUUUAUUUCAUUUAGAAAUAAACUUAGUUGAAAAUGUGAAUCAAUUAGGAUUCGAACUUGGGUCUCGGGUACCAACUACCAAGCCCUUUACCACUUGCUCUAGGGACAGUCGCUUUGUCUUAGAAUGUGUUGAUGCCCAUUUUCAACAACUACGAGUGAGAGAAUCACGGGUCACUAUUUGGGCUGCGUUUCGGCAAAAUGACGUGGUUUUGACACACAACAUAAGGACGUGCCGACACGUCAAAACCAUAUAAUGCAUAAAAUUAUGAAUUGUAUUGUAAUACCCCUAGCUAGUAAAUAAUCCCACAUUGGAUAGCUGAAUAGUGUGCUGUGGGGCACGUAAAGCCGGAUAUUCUAGAGCUAAUAACCGAGGGUAAGUAUUCUGGGUCCAAUAAUUUUGUUAGCGCUAAGUCAUCACUGCCCAACGCUGCAUUAAUGAGUGAUUAACGGCUAGUGCUGUAGACAUGGUUAGAGAACACAACGAGAGUCGUCGUGUGGGUUUCUAUGCUAGGAACGAGAAAAGGGUAAAGGUGUAGCCAUGGUUGCUUCAGCUACGAUUGCGCUAGGAUGAACUCCCUAGGAUUAAAAAAAAAGGGAUAGGAUGCCAAGAGGAGAUCUCAGACUGUACACAAUAACUCUCGACUCCAGGGACGAAGCCACAAUUCAAUCACGGUAGAGGGUCAAAAUAGGAUGCUAAGAGGAGGAGAUCUCAGACUGUACACAAUAACUCUCGACCCCAGAGACAAAACUAGAAUUCAAUCACGAUAGAGGGUCAAAAUAUGUACAAAUAAAAAUUUUAAAAGAUAAAUAAGCUUUUAACUACUCAAAUUUUUAAUAAAAAAUUUAGUGAUUAGAUAAUUAAUAUUAAAAAAUAUUAAAUUUAUUUCGUUAAUGUACACUCGCUUAACUUCUAAUUAUUUUAUUUAUAUUAUUCUAAUCAAAUAGCUUAAGAAUUUUACUAAAUCUAAUAGUAAUUUAGUUAGAAUUUAAUUUUUUUAAUUUUGUUAAUAAAAUAAUAACAAUCAAUGACUAAUAUCUAACAGAACUAUUAAAUUUAGCAUACUAUUUUAUUUAGUUAAAUAAAUUAGCUCAUCAAAAAUAAUUAGAAAGUUAAGAAUGUACAAAUAAAAUAUUUAAAGUUAAAAGAACUUUUUUUAAAAUGCACUAUAAUUAAGAGAUUCUUAGCGUAUUUUUACCUAUAAAACACAUAAGAAAAGAGAGAGGUCUAUACCCGCACUAAAAUUUUUUUACAAGAUAGGUUCAUAUAUUUUAAAAAUUAACUAAAAAUUUAUAAACUACCAAAGGACUAUAAAGUAAAUAUUAAAAAGCUGAGGGGGGCCAUGGCCCCUUUGGGUCUAUUAAUAGCUCCGUCCCUGCUCGACCAACAUUAGCAGGAAAUUUCUCAGCUAAACAUCAAUCGCCAUCCAGAUGCCAUGCAACACUCACUGUGCCACCUCAUCCUUACCCGGUGAACUUAUCCUUCAACUACACACUACCGACUGUCCCUAACGCAAGCGAUAAAAAAUUUUAUGGUUGAUAUCCGAGGUACCAAAUUUGAAUCCUAGUUGAUUCACAUUUUUAGCUAAUUUUAUUUCUAAAAAGAAAUAAGCGAGACAGAUAGCAUGUUAUCUUUCUCUCUCCCUCAAAAAAAGAAGAAAUGUGAUUUUGUAAAUUUUUCUAUUUUUAUAUGUUAAAUCCAUCUUAAAUAGAAGAAUAUUUUGAACAGGAAAAAUAUAGAAAAACCCUCGAACUUUGGCUUUUCUAGUAAAUAGACUCCUUAACUUUUAGUUUUUAUAAUUCAACUCUUUUAAUUUAUCAACUAAUUUAAUAGACAUCUCUCAAUUAAAAUUGCUAAUUAUACGACCGUUUUGACAAUAUACCUUGCAUAUAAUUUUACAAAGUUUCAAGACACAAAACAACGUUCUCUUCGACACAAACAAGCAUGUAAAAUAAGCAACAGCCGGUAAAGAUAAGCUCUUCUCAUUUUUUAAUCUUCAUACUUAAUUAUUAAAAUUUAAAAUUAUAACUUGAAGUUUUAUAAAAUUAUAUUAUUAUAUGCAAGAUAUGUGAUCAAAAAAACUGCUUAAUUAAUAACCUGCAAUUGAGAAUAGAGAUGUAGAACUUUUUUUUUAAGUGUGAAGGGUCAAACAAAAAAAAUAGGCUAAAUUACAGAAAACCCCCGUGUCAUAACCCGCGUUUUCACUUUCCCCUCCUGUCAUUUAAAAAUCUACACUUUGCCCCCUUGUAAAAUGAAAAAUAUGCACUUCACCCUUGCCGUUAGCGAUCCGUUAGGGUUCCGUUAUAAAAUAUUUUUUUAUGCCAAAAAUACCCCUCUGCCCUCUUCCUAUUGCUUCGCUUUCUCCGCCUCGCCGCAGCCUCGCCGCCGACACCGUCCUUUUCCCGCUGACACCAUCCUUUUCCCACUGCACCUCCGCAAGCAUCUCUAAUGGCGUCGUCCUUCUGCUCUAUCCCUCUCCACUCGAUCCAAAACCCUCUCUUCCCCCUCCUCUGCCGUAGUGUCACGAAACCCUCUCUACCUCUCCAUCUCCUCUCCCGCCCCCGAUCACCAUCUCUCCGCCCCUCUGCCAAGCUCCGCCUCUCCGAGAUCAUGGGCGGCCGCGGCCUCUGCAAUGGCGAAGAGGGCCUCCUCAAGGAGCUCACCCGCCCUGCGGGGGAGGCGGCGGCGGCGGCGCCUCCUCCUCCGCCGCCGACGCAGCCGCAACCCUCGCCCCUCGGGAUCGAUGAUGGGGCCUUCGAGAAGGAGCUCCUAGGGCUCACGGGAGGGUUCCCGGGGGGCGAUUGAGUCUGCGGAUGAGAAGAAUGAGGGAGAAGACGAAAAGGCGAAGGACAAAAUGAUCAUUUUUCACACCGUAUCCCCCUGUGCACAUUUUUUAUUUUACAAGGGGGCAAAGUGUAGGUUUUUAAAUGACAGGGAGGAAAGUGAAAAAGCAGGUUAUGACAGGGGGGUUUUUUGUAAUUUAGCCACAAAAAUAAAUAAAAGUUCAGAAGCUUGUUCACACAGCUCUAAAAUUUAGAGGGGUCUUGGUACAUUUCGCAACAAAAAGAAUAGGGCUAGUUCAUAUAGGUCUAUGUAAAUAUAGUGAAUAUCAAUUGUAUCCCUAUAAAGUUCAACGGCCAAUUUGCAUAAAAAAUCCACUUAUUUUGGGCUUUUGCAAAACCGGGCCACCUUUUUCGUUUUUGCAGAUUCGGUCCACUUUUUCAGCAAACUGACCAAAAUACCCUUUUUACUUUUUCUCUUUCCUCUUUCUCUCUCCUCUUCGUUUCUCUCGUUCUUUUUUUUUUUUCUCGCCGGUAGAGCGGAGGCGGAGCGGAGGCGGAGCGGAGGCAGAAACGGUCUGUCUCGCCUCUCACCCUCAUGCUCUCGCCCUCGCCCUUGCCUUCGUCCAUGCACCCCCACCUUCCUCGCCUCCGACCCCGUUAAGGCCGCGCCGCGACUUUUUUUUUUUUGCUUUUUUCUUUUCUUUUCUUCUCCGACUCUUCUCCACAGUCUCCGAUGACGACGCCUCUCGCCCUUCCCCGCCCUUCUCAUCUCUCCCUCUGCCUCAUUUUCUGCCGCCUCCGACAACGAUUUAUCUUCGCCGGCACCGACGUCGACACCGUAGAGGUCACUGCGGCGUUACAGCCUCGGAGCGGGGGUCCUUAGCAGCGUCGUCACCGGCGCCGUAGCUGUUGGCAGAGAAGGUGACAAAAAAAUUAUAGAAAAAACAGAAAAAAAAAAUAAAGAUAAAAAAUUAUAUAAAAAGAAUGAUGAAGAUGAAAUUACAUCGUUAAUUACAAAAAAAAUUAUAAGUUGCACUAUUUAAGAUGUAAACUUCUGCUUUAAGAUAAAAAUUAUACUCUUUGAACGAAAAUUAUAUUAUUUUUUAUCUUAAACUGCAUCCUUUUAAGUGAUAUUUAUACUGUUUCUCCUAUUGUUGCACUGUUUUUCCUGUUAUUGUACUAUUUCUCCUCUUAUUUACACAGAAAUGGUGCAACAAGAGAAGAAACAGUGCAACAAGAGGAGAAACAGUAUAAAUAUCUCUUAAAAAGGUGCAGUUUCUCCUCUUAUUGCAUUGUUUCUCCUCUUGUUGCACUAUUUCUCCUAUUGUUUACACAGAAAUGGUGCAACAAGAGAGAAACAGUGCAACAAGAGAAGAAACAGAUAUAUCUCUUAAAACAGUGCAGUUUCUUCUCUCGUUGCACUAUUUCUCCUAUUGUUUACACAGAAAUGGUGCAACAAGAGGAGAAACAGUAUAUAUAUCUCUUAAAACAGUGCAGUUUCUUCUCUUCUUGCACUAUUUCUCCUCUGUUGCACUAUUUCUCCUCUUAUUUACACAGAAAUGGUGCAACAAGAGGAGAAAUAGUAUAAAUAUCUCUUAAAAGGGUGUAGUUUAAGAUAAAAAAUAGUGUAACAAGAGGAGAAAUGGUGCAACAAGAGGAGAAAUAGUGCAACUUUUAUUUAAAGAGUGUAACUUUCAUCUUAAUGGAUGCAAUUUAUAUCUGAAAGAGUGUAAUAAGAAGAGAAACAGUAUAAAUAUUUUUCAAAGAGUGUAAUUUUCGUUUAAAAAGUGUAGUUUUCAUCUUAAAGCUGCAGUUUACAUAUUAAAUAGUGCAACUUAUAAUUUUUUUUGCAGUUAACGAUACAAUUUGAUGUUCAUCCUUCUUUUUAUAUAAUUUUUUAUCUUUUUUUUUUCUGUUUUUUCUAUAAUUUUUUUUUGUCACCUUCUCUGCCAACAGCCACGGUGCCGGGGACGACACCGGUAAGGACCCCCGCUCCGAGCCUGUAGCGCCGCAGUGACCUCCACGGUGUCGACGUCGGCGCAGGCGAAGAUGCAUCGUCGUCGGAGGCGGCAGAGAAUGAGGGAGAGGGAGAGAUGAGAAGGGCGGGGAAGGACGAGAAGGACUAGAGAGCCAUCGUCGUCGGAGACGGUGGAGAAGAGUCGGAGAAGAAAAGAAAAGAAAAAACCAAAAAAAAAAAAAAAGUCGUGGCGCGGCCUUGGCGGGGUUGGAGGCGAGGAACGUAGGGGGUGCGUGGACGAAUGCAAGGGCGAGGGCGAGGGCGAGGGCUAGAGAAUGAGGGUGAGAGGCGAGACGGACCGUUUCCGCCUCCGCUCUGCCGGCGAGAAAAAAAAAGAACGAGAGAAACGAAGAGGAGAGAGAAAGAGGAAAGAGAAAAAGUAAAAAGGGUAUUUUGGUCAGUUUGCUAAAAAAGUGGACCGAAUCUGCAAAAACGAAAAAGGUGGCCCGGUUUUGCAAAAGCCCAAAAUAAGUGGAUUUUUUAUGCAAAUUGGCCAAGUUCAACUUUCAUAUAUCUUUCAUAUAUUAUUUCUAUAAAAGUUCUAAUAUUUUUCAAAUAUGUCCCAUUGGUUUUUUACUGCUAGAGAACCAUUAGAAAAUUAUUUAUAUUUUCAAUUUUGCCAUCGUAAACAUGUCUCUCCAAAAGUCAUAACAGUAUACUAUAAGAGGGACAAAAAUGUCAAAAACUAACUAGAGUUAAGCAUUUAACCUUUCGUUAAUUAAAAUUUUCUAACGGAUUUUAAUGGUAGGGACAUAUUUAAAAACAUCAGAACUUUUGUAGGGACAACAUAUAAAAGUUGAACUUUGUAGGGGGAUAUUUACUAUUCACUAUAUUUGUAGAGAUUUGUAUGAAAUUAAUCCAAAAAAAAAAGGCUAAAUUAUAGAAAACUUUUCUGUUAAAAUUCGAUUUUUUACUUUUCCCCCCUGUCAUUUAAAAACCUACACUUUGUCGCCUUGUGAAAUGAAAAAUGUGCACUUCACUCCCUACCGUUAGUGAUCCGUUAGGAUUUCGUAAUAAAAUACUUUUUUAUACCAAAAAUAUCCUUCUGCCCUCUUCCCUGUUGCUUCGCCUCCUUCCGGCUCGCCGCCUUGCCGUCGCCUCGCCGCCUCGCCGCCUCGCCCUCCUCCACUGCCUCGCCCUCGCCCACAUCCCAUUCGUCCUCCUCCGCCGCCUCGCCUUCGCCCUCGUUGCCCUUGCCUACCUCUUUAUCAACGCCCACCUCGAUUUCCUCCCUACUGUCGUCGAAAUCGAGGGGCGGCGAGGGUGCAGGAGGAGAAGGGGAACAGGUGGAGAAGAAAAUGGAGAGAAAUCGUGGCCGAUCGAGGUGUGAAUUACGGCCGAUCGAGACGGUGGUUGAGGAAAAUAAUGGAGGAGACGAAAAUGGUGAGGGGCAAAAUGGCCAUUUUACACACCGUACCCCCUCUGUGAAUAUUUUUUAUUUUACAAGGGGGCAAAGUGUAGGUUUUUAAAUUACAGGGAGGGAAGUAAAAAAUUGAGUUUUGACAUGCGGAUUUUAUGGAAUUUAGCCAAAUAAAAAAAAAAAAAGAAAAAAAAAAGAAAGAGAGUAUAGUUGAGGGGGGUUCUAUUUUCACAAUGUUCCAUAGUUAAGGGGGUGCCCAUACUUUUUCUUUCUUUUUUCUUUUCUUUCUAAAAAUAAUCUAAUUCGUACUUUCGUCGUCGAGACCAUUUUUUUUUCGAUCGAAAAGCUCGGCGCGGAUGGGUUGUUGCAGCAGCAAAAGCAUCGAUUCGAGGGCGAAUCGGAUCGCUCGGUGGCGAUCGACGGGGAUCGUCGCCCUCCGAGACGGCAAAUUGAAGGUAUUUCGAUCUCAAUUUAGGGUUUCUUUUGAUGAUGCUCCGGUGAUUAAUUCUGAGAUUUGAUUUGAUGUAUCCUUUAAUUUGCUGCGAUUUGAUGCUUUGUGAGUGUAAUUCGAUUGCAAAAUUGAAAUCUCUGUGAUGAUGAUGCGAAAAAUGGGGGGAAAUUUUUUUUUUUUGGGCUAUUUUAGUGUUGGAGGAAUUAGAUUCUUAACUGGAUUAGGGUUUGAUUGGUGUGCGUGUUUAUUCGUUGUACCAUGGGAAUUAGCAUAGAGGAAUCCGAAAAAUUCCUCUUUUUUAAUGUAUAGUAUUGAUUGAAGCUUUAUAAAUGAUUGAAUUUGUGGUUUAUGUAUUGAUUUUUUUUUUUUCCCUCGUAGUGUAGCCAUUUUGCCCCUUUUCAAGCUACUAAAGACAUGUGUGUCAUGUAAUGGAUGAAUAAAUGUUGAUGGUCCAAAUAAUUUACAAGAAAAGACUCUGCAUCAAGGGGGGGAAUCGACAAAUUUUUGUCCUUGGCAUUAUAAGCGGAAAAAAAAGAAGGAAAUUUGCUAUCAAUUUGCUGCUUGUUCUACCUUAGUUGGCUCAAAUACCGGCUUUGGCAAAUCUUGAAAACAGACAAUAAAGCUGCAGGAUUGUACCCAAGGGCCCGUUUGACACGAAUAAGGCCUAGUUUGGGAAUGCGCUGCAACGAGCAUUCUUAUCUGGUGGAGGUUCCUGUCGUAGUUUUUUUAGCAUUGGAGUAUUAUGGGUCGCCACUGAAGUGAAUAGGGUAGUACCUAAGUGCUUCAUCAACCUGCUUAUGAGUAGAGCCUAAGCCUUUAGUCCCAAUUAUAUUGGGAAUCUGCUUUCAUAGUUUUCUUAAGGCAAGUUUUACAUUGGUUUUCAGGCUCUCUAAUCUCGUCAUAAUAGACUCGCGCUCUACCGAAUUAUGAUGUAAGAUGUGAAAUUCAAUAGCUCUUAUUACUUAAAGCAUGAACAUGCACGCUUUUAUCAUUUCAAUGGUAUAUCUCUAUAGCUUAUCUUUCGUUUGAUAUGGCGACAUAACUGCUAGGACAAAAUCUGAAGUAUCAAUUUCCAUUUGCAAUGCUAUUCUUUAAACACGUUAGGUAUUGUUAAAAUUCAAGAAUGUCGAAAGGAGAGGAGUAUAAAACUAAAUCUUUAUUAAAUAUUCUUGGACUAAAUUUCUAUGGUGGAUGAUUUUCCACACAUUUAUAGCCGUCUAUAUAUAGGCAUAAAUCAAAAUCCUAAUAACAGUAACUGAACCAGAUUUAAACUUAUCUCUUAUGUCUAACCAACAAAAUAUUAAGAGAUAAACUUGAUAGAAAUAAAUCUAAACUAAUAAAAAAUAUUAGGUUACUUAUCAACAUCCUCCCUUAACCCAAAUUUUCGCAUUCCGAGUAGCUUUCGUAGCUUCACGAAAUUUUCCGAUGUCAGCGGCUUCGUAAAGAUAUUGGCGGCUUGAUUCUCCCUUCUGCAAAAGUGUAGUUCGAUCUCGUUCUUCUUCACAAGUUCUCGAAUAUAAUGAUAACGGACUUCAAUAUGUUUACACCUUCUAUGAAAAACUGGAUUUUUUGCGAUUGCUAUAGCCGAGCUAUUAUUACAAAAUAUUUUUGUAGGUGCAUUGUGACUUUCACCAAAUUCUUCAAGAACUCUUCUAAGCCAAAUUGCUUGUGUAGCGCUUGCUGACGCUGCCACGUAUUCGUCUUCUGCUGUCGAGAGAGCUACGAUAUCCUGUUUCUUCGAUGACCAUGUGAAUGCGCUGCUUCCAAGAAAAAAUACGUUGCCUGAUGUGCUUUUCCGUUCUUCUACGUCGCCGGCCCAAUCGCUAUCAGUGAAUCCGAUGAGUUCGGAUUUGCCACCGUAAGCGUAAAAAAUACUAUAGUUGACCGUUCCUUUUAUAUAGCGUAAAAUACGCUUUGCUGCCUGUAGAUGCAUCUGAGUCGGCUUUUCUAUAUAUCUGCUGAUCAACUUAACACCAUAGGCUAUGUCGGGUCUAGUUGCGGUUAAGUAGCAGAGGCUACCCACCAACUGUUUGAAGUAUGUAGAAUUAACGAGCUUUCGGUCUCCUUUCUUGUUGAGCUUUAAUCUGAUCUCUACUGGGGUAACGACCGGUUUACAAUUCGCCAUCUGAAACUUUUCAAGUAUUUCUCCUGCAUAUUUCUUUUGAGAAAUAAAAAUACCUUUAUCUUUUUGUGAAACUUCGAUGCCCAGAUAAUAAGCCAUAUAGCCCAUAUCAGUCAUCUCAAACUCAUUAGUCAUGCUCUUUUUGAAUUCUUCAAUCAUAAAAGAAUUAUUUCCCGUAAAGAUAAGAUCGUCAACAUAGAGGGAAACAAAUAAAAGAUCACCGUUAGAAUUAUUUUUAAUGUAAAGAGCAUGUUCAAAAGGGCACUUACGAAAUUCGGCUUUUUGAAAAUAUCGAUCUAUACGUGUGUACCAGGUUCGCGGAGCUUGCUUCAAGCCGUACAAUGCCUUUUUCAAUUUGUAAAUUUUGUCUUCUUCACCGUUUUGUAUAAAUCCUGGCGGUUGCUCUAUAUAUACUUCUUCAUCGAGAAAGCCGUUGAGGAAGGCGAAUUUGACAUCCAUCUAAUGGAUCUUCCACUGUUUUUGAGCCGCCUCAAUCGAAGAAACGACAUGAUCAUAUUUGCCAGUUACUGAUCUCAUAAUUUUUUUGACAAUUAAUUUAUCGGGCCAGUCUUCUCCAUUCAUCCGUAUUUGAUUUGAUAUGGAUACUACCCAACUAAAAUAGUCGUCGAUUGAUUCACCUUCAUUCAUCUACAAAGAUUCAAACUCACCUUUAAAAGUUUGGAUUCGUACCUUUUUUACUUUAUCUGCGCCUCGAUAACUCCUCUUGAGCAUGUCCCAGGCCUCUUUCGCUGUCUUGGCAUUCGAUAACCUCUCAAAAACAGCUUCAUCCACCGCCUGAUACAGAAAGAAUAGUGCCUUUCUGUCUUUCUUUCGAUAAUCUUUGAGCGUUUUCUUCUUUGCAGCAGCAAGCGUUUCGAACUCACUGUCAGUGACAUCUUUGAAGCCAUCCUUCACGAUAUCCCAUAACUCCUGAGAUAAAAAUAAGCAUUUUAUCUAGAUACUCCAGUAAUCGAAGUUCUUUCCUAUAAACUUCGGAAGCUGUGGUUGAAUCAUCCCGUUUAGGGCCAUGAUCAACUAUCGAUGUCGAUGUCGAUGUCGAUGGAAAGCGCGAUGCCGACACAUUCUACGUCCUCGAUCACGAAGCCGACGAUCUUUUCUUCGUCGUAAGGCUUCUUAAACUUGUCUUUGAUACCACUUGUCGAAAGGAGAGGAGUAUAAAACUAAAUCUUUAUUAAAUAUUCUUGGACUAAAUUUCUAUGGUGGAUGAUUUUCCACACAUUUACAGCCGUCUAUAUAUAGGCAUAAAUUAAAAUCCUAAUAACAAUAACUGAACCAGAUUUAAACUUAUCUCUUAUGUCUUACCAACAAAAUAUUAAGAGAUAAACUUGACAGAAAUAAAUCUAAACUAAUCAAAAGUUACUUAUCAACAAAGAAGACGAAAGCAGCAGUAAAAUGUUUCUUGUUUGCAUGAGUGGGACUAUGAUUAGUUUUUUUGGUGGACCUUUUUGCAGAUUCACAAUUCUUACCACUAUAUUUCAGAAUUGAGAUAUUGUAUAAAGGAUCCAUGAACUUUUUCGUAUUUCAUCUCGAUUUCUAUCUUACUAUUUAUGUUCUAGAUUUUCACAAAUUUAAGCUUUGGUUUUACAGACACUACCAGAUGAACUUUUCCAGGUGGAUAAAUUUGUCAGAACACUUGAUUUGACAAAUAACAAGAUAGGUAAGCCAAGGUUCUCAAUUUUCUUUCUACUUUUCCAUGUUUUGAUUGGUAUUCACGAAAAUUCAUUAGAAUAUAUAAUGUUUUUUAUUACUUAUAUAGUCAUAUUUGAACUUUUAUUCUCUCGUAUAGGGUUCAAUACUUAGUAGAUGCGUGUAAAUCUUUUCAGUUUCUAUUUUUCCAUUGGUCAGUACACUUUCUUCUGAAACAUGCAAACAUUCAUGAGAUGAUAUUAUUAACCUGCUGCUUAAUUGCAUUCUGUUCUUUUUAAAUAGGGAACAUCUUCCAGCUAUUAAGAACUGUCAUAGUCCUGAAUAGAUGAUUGGACUUGCAGUUAUGAUCCUUUUUCGAAAUGAGCAUGAUUGCAACAUCAUCAUGCUGACUUCACAGCUCCUUACUUGAAAUAUUAAAAGAAUGUGCAUGUAUGAGAUCAUAUAAUAAAUAAAUGAAAUCAUGUUAUAGAGAACUGGCAUUUAUGAUUACCAUUAAUCUUUAAGGACAAAAGAAUCAGGGACAUGUUUGUUUCCCAAUUGGGAUUGCAAUUGGAAUCCAAAUGAUCAAUGCAUUAGUGGUUUUUGUUGACAAUGCAAUCGUUGUAGGAAUGGACUAUUCCCAUUUCACCUAGAUUUUGGCCCCUCUCCCAGGCCGGACUUAAGAUAAGGGAUUAGAAGAUUCUUGUUCCACCUCAAAUUGAGGAUCUGCAUGGGGUUCCACCCAACCAAAGAGUUUGAAUGGAAUUUGACUGGUCUGAUUCCCAUUCCAAGUCCAAAACUUCCCCAACCAAACUCUCCCAAAAUGAAAAGUAAUGUUUUCAUAAUUCUUGUAUUCAAAGAAGUGCACGCAAGAGAAUGCAAUAACUUGAUGAGAUGAAAUGGAUUAUCUACUCUUUUAUGAUUCCUUUUCUCUUGAUUCUGUCUUCUCGAGCAAUUAAAAUUAAUCCAUUUUUUUUCCUCCUGCAGCUGAGAUACCGCCAGAGAUUGAUAGACUACUUACCCUGCAACGUCUUGUGAGGAUAAUUACUUUCCAGUCCUUAAAAUCUAAUUUAUCUUCUAUGCAGUCGAUAUAUGACAAAUAACAAUUUUCCUGCAUUUUUAGUCUUCUUUUUCACAUUCUCCAUUUUGUUGUCAAAGGCAAAAAUUUAGCUGGAAAUAAAUGCUUACUGCUUUUUCAGGUUUUGGCUGGCAACCUGCUUGAGUUCUUGCCAGCUAACAUUGGGAAUCUCCGGAACCUAAAGGCCAUCACUCUUGAUGGAAAUCGGAUGUCAGUCUUGCCUGAUGAAUGUAAUUUUCUUUCCGUAUAUUAUAACUGCCCUUGUUGUUAAAAACUAAAAUUAAGUUUUGGAAGAAAAUUCGUAUUUACACAUUAAUGUUGUUUUAAGUUUUAACUAGGUUAUAUGCGUCCCUUGUAGUAUUCAUAUAUGCUUUGUAGCUAAGUAUAUUAUUUUCUGAGCAUAUUAUUUUCUCCAUUUAGUGGGCUCUCUUUCCAGGCUUGAGCGACUUUCUAUCUCUGGGAAUUCCUUAAUUUCUCUGCCCAAGACCAUUGGAAAUUUGCGUAGUGUGAGUUCCUAAUACCAAUUCAAACUAUAUUAUGAGCAUAUUUCCUUUUGUUUUGGCAGAACUGUGAUGUGGCUAUAUUUAAUCUCCUAAUUUUGAUCUUUUUUCCUUUGACUUGAUUUAUUUAUGGUCGUCCGCAUGUUGCUUUUAUGAUUUUGAUGUGCAAUGGACUCUGUUUUCAGUGAUAACUUAUCUGAUUACAGUUGUUGCUGCUAAAUGUUUCCAACAACAAAUUGAAGUCCCUUCCAGAGUCAAUUGGUGACUGCAUUUCCUUGGAAGAAUUGCAGGCAAAUGGUACUACUACCUGUUGCUUUCGUACCAAUUAUCUGGAGUAAUAUUCAUUGUUAUUUUAUCUUUUCCAUCCAGUGGAUGUUGUAUUCUAAUUGGAAAUACAGGGUCGUGCAUAAACCAUGAAUUAAGAUAAUUCAUUGUAGGAAUCGCAGCCCACAGAGUGAACUUGAACCCUCAACAACUUUUUUUUUUUCCUCCCCUAAUCCAGAUCUCCUUGACUCUUUCUUUAUUCAAAUUUUGAAACUAUCUCCAUGGCACAUGAAUAGCCCAAAAAUAGAGGACAAGAGUUGUUUGAACUGAACAAGGCAAGAGGAGGCUCUUUGUUAAUUUAAACUUUGAAACAAUCUUGACGAUAUGUGAAUAACCCAAAGAUAGAGGAUAAGAUUAUUAAAAUUAAAGAGGGUAAGAGAUUUUCGAACUUGAGCCCAUUUUUACCGAUUCAAAUGGUAUUAAUAGGUGUUGUUAAAACUUAUUUGCUUGAUGGUACACCCCCUUUUUUGCCUUAGUAUCUUAGUAACAUGUCCACAUCUGGCGAUUGAUACUGGUUUUGAAGUCUCUCUCUCUCUCCCUCUCUGUUUUUUUUUUUGAAGAUUCGUUUGGCUUUUGUUGGGUGUGCUUCUACAUUCAGCCCUUAGCGACUAAAUUAGUUUCAAAAAUUCUGUUCCCAUACUAAUUGAUACGAAGCUGGAACAUUGUAUAUGCAAGUGCAAGUCUAAUGCAAUUGAGUCGAUUGGAUCAACGAUUUUAGAUCUAUAGAGGCCUUUAGAACCCUUGUGUGUACCAAAAGGACAGCUAUAUUAAUAACUCGCAUCCUAUUCCUCCAUAUUAAAUAGUUUCCAUGCAACAUUUCUCUUUUCUUUUAUAUAGUUUAUAUUGUACUUCUUUUUAUUUCUUUCUUAACCUUAACCUUGCCAUUCUUGGACUUGCUUAAUUGACCUACUAAUUUACUUAACCUAUAAUGCAGGAAAUUCUAUUGAUGAUUUGCCUUCAUCUAUUUGCAAUCUCAUUCACCUGAAGUCCCUUUUGUUGAACAAUAAUAACAUUCGCCAGGUAUAUGGUUCAUAGCUUGAUUUAUCUAAUAUUUCUCUUAUUCAGUUUUAGUAUUUUUAGCAUAUCUUGAAAAUUUGUAGCAUCAACACGAAACUACGACUUAACUAUUUUAGCUACAAGCAUAUAUUAUUUUUGUAUUUUAUUCCAAAAGCUGAAUUUCCAUAUAUGCUCUUCAAAAUCUCAAUUUCUUACAUGUGCUCUUGGAGUCUUGUACUUAACAAACGAAUGCCUUACAUGAAAGUGACCCACGUUAAAAAAUUCUUUUAAACACAAAACCAACUCUCUCCCAUAUUUUUGUUAGGAUGGAUAAAUGUAUCCAAAAAUUCAAAGUUUACAAAUAGGGGUAAAGCUAGGAUACUUUAGAAGUAAACGGUUUCCCUCUCAUUUCUGAUAACGGGGCAUCCCAAUCGACGAUCGACGCAGUGAAACACGAUUUGGACUCUUUCAACUUCCUCAAAACUGAAUUUCGUUAUUUUACUUAUUUUACGACAUCAUUUACCUAGUUGUCCAAGUUGUCUCAAAUUCACCUUAUAUUGGCCGUUAAAAUUUACCAAUUCUGCGACCAUUUGAAUCCAGGCAAAUGACAUCUAAAACUUAGAUGAAUUUUCAGGUGUAUAUAUAUAUAUAUGUGGAAGCCCCAUGUUGUUGUUGUUACUAAUAUGUUUGAUUCCAUAAUACUUAUUUAAUCUUAUGAUUCGCAGCUUCCUCAGAAUUUAUUGAAGGAAUGCAAAUCUCUGCAGAACAUUUCUCUUCACGACAACCCUAUUUCGAUGGAUCGGUUUCAGCAAGUUAGUCCACAUCCUUGCAAGCUCACAAACUUAUGCUAUCUUAAUAUUUGUGCUUUGGUUGACGAAAUUGCCGCGUAUCUUCUUGUAGAUGGAAGGAUUCGACGAGUUUGAAGGACGAAGAAAGAAAAAAUUCGACAAACAAAUCGAUUCAAAUGUCAUGAUGAGCUCCACCGCACUAGACGAGGGUCUUGAUUUGCGAUAAUCAUGAUUCUUCAUUGUAUGUUUUCUUCAUGUUUCGAUCUUUGUCCCUUCUCUGUAUAUACAAAUUUCACGAAUCUAUUCUUGAAUCCCAGUAAUUGAGGAAAUAAUUUGGUACAAGUACGGUACAGUGUAAUUUUGUGCUCACGAUAUGUUUCCUUGUGUGCAAGGAAAGGAAAAUGCUUGGACUUUUAUUUUUUUCAAAAUAACCCUAUAAAAUUUUCUAAUUAUCUAAUUAGAUAAAUAACCUAUAAAAUUUUUUUUUGGCAAACUAACUCUUCUUUUGCCGUGUAGGAGUCACGUUGGAAUUUUCUCAAAGACAGUGAACGAUUCACUGCUUUCGUAAAAACGGCGAACAAUAAAAAUGAUUCACCGUCUUUCUAAUUUCUCACAAAAGGGGUAAAUUAUUUACUGCUUUUUGUUUAUUUACCGUUUCUUUCUAUAUCCUGUAUAUAAUUCUAACCACUAUAUAAAAAUUUUAAUAAAUCAUAUAUAAUCUUAACAAUCUAAAAAUUUUAAUAAUCUAUCUUUAUAAUUCCAUAUAAUCUUAACAAUCUGAAAAUUUUAAUAAUUUAUCUAUACAAUCUUAACUACUAAAUAAAAAUUUUAAUAAUUCACGUAUAAUCCUAACAAACUCAUUUUUUCUAUUUUUUCUAUUUUUCAUAUAAUUUGUACAGUUUUAAUGAAUGCAGUGAAUGAUUCACCGAUGAAAAAGGUGACGGAAUGAGGUGAACAAUAAAAAAUCCUAUAUGGCAAAAAGAGGGUUAAUUUGCCAAAUAUAAAUUUGGUAGGAUUAUUUUGCAAAUUACAAAAUUUUAGAGAAUUAUUUUUAUAAAAAUGUCCAAAUGCUUCGCUCACUUAAAUUCUAAAUUACACUUUCGGUCCUCAAAAUUAUGAGGCUGGUGACACUUUGGCUUUCAAACCUUUAUUUGCUGGAACUUCUCAUUUAAAUUUUGUAGAUUAUUAUAAUUAAAUCCGACAACCCAAUUUAAUUUAUUUAUAUUAACGUGUCGUUGAUAUAAAAGUGAUGUGAUAUUUUAAUUAUCGUGUCAUCAAUCAAAGGACUACUAUAUUAUUUUUAUAUUAGCGAUACAUCAAUAUUUAGUUAACUAAAUUAAUUUAUUGGACUUAAUCCGCUUUUUUUACUAUAUUCUAAUUUUGUCACAAGACCAUUGGGAGAAAUUUAGGGCGUGUUUGGUUUGUUUAUUUUUCACCCUAAAAUCGGAAUGAGUAAAUCUGUUUGUGGGUGUUUGGUAUGCAGGAGUCCCAUUCCGAUUCCGAUUCCGAUUCCCGAGUAGAAUGGGAAUCUCCCAAUCACCCCUGGGCUUCUAGGCCAGAUUGAAAGUUGAAUCCGGACGUAAUGGAUAUUUAUUCGGAUUAAAUUUAUUUUUUUAACUUUUUUAAUUAUAAUAUGAGUUAAAAUUUAAAAAUUAAAUAUAUAAGUUUAAAUUUUAAUUUAAACUUAAAAAUUAAAAUAAACUAAUAUAUAUAUAUAUAACUUAAAUUAGGAUCGGCCCAGUUUACNNNNNNNUAUAUAUAUAUAUAUAUAUAUAUAUAUAUAUAUAUAUAUAGAUUUUAUGAUUAGAAUAUCUAUUAAGAUAUAAUAGAUAUUCAUUAGAAAAUACGUUUGUUAACUAAUAAGAAACGUAUAAUUCAUAUUUAUCCUUAACAUAUUAUAAUAAAUCCCACAUGGCAACAAUUCACAAACAAGGUCCAUCAAAAGCAGGAUCCAUCUAUUUUUUUUUAGUGAUAGGUAGCACGCUACUCGCUUCGUUUAUUUUAUUUAGAAAUAAAUUUAGCUAGAAAUGUGAAUCAAUUACGAUUCGAACUUGGGAUCUCGGGUACCAACCACCAAGCCCUUUGCCACUUACUCUAGGGACGGAUAGUAAAAAGAUAUAUCUAGUAAACUCUUUUUAGUACAGUCACAUUCACACUUAUAAAUUAUUUUUAAUAAUAGAACAUCUUUUAUCGACGAUCCAUACUUAUAAGCUGCUUUUAAAACCCAAGCUUUUUAAAUGAUAAUAAUACGUGUGGGUAAAAUAUGAGUUAGAGUAUUUAAAGUUUCUGAAAAUAAAUGUUUAAAAUUUUUAACUUUAUUUAUCUAAUAACCAAAAUGCCAAAAGAUUGAAGCCUCUAUCGAAUAUUUUUUCACAUCAAGAUUUAAAAUUUCAAUAUUGGAUCCAGAAACUAGAUAGAAUUGAACGAUUUUAUUGGGUUUUUUUUUCCCCUUUUUUUUAGCCACUUUAAAGAACUUAAUAAUAAUUUUUAAAAACAUUGUAAAAAAAAUUAGUUUUAAUGUAUUUAAAAAAAAUUAAAUUAAUAUUAAACGGUGCGAAUUGUUUGGUGAGAGCUAAUAAAAUGUUAUUGAAAUGGAAAAGAAAUUCUCUUCUAUCACAGAAAACCCCCUCAUAUUCCUUUAUAUUUUCAACCAAGUAAAAUAAUAAUAAUCCACGCUAAAUAAUUUAGUAAUUUUCACCAUCCCUUCAUCUCCUCUCUCUCUCUCUGGUUUCUCUCUCUAGUUUCUCUCUCUUCCUCUCCCAUGGCCGACGCGGACCACGACGACGACGGCGACGGCGGCGGAGGCGGAGGCGGCGGGGUCCUCUCCCAUGGCCGACACAACCACCACGGCGGCGGCGGCGGCGGCGGCGUACAACUCCUCCGACCCCUCCCCGGCGCCCCACUACCACCACAAACCCCACCUCUACCCCAAACCCCAAUCUCAAUCCCAAACCCUACUACCCCCUUCCUCCGCUUCCUCCUAUCCUAACCCUAACCCUAACCCUUACCCCGCUGCUGCUGUGGCGGCGGCGGCGGAGCCAUACGCUCUGAACCCCUACGCUGUGUACGAGGCUCCUCCCGCCGCCGCGGCCGCCGCGGUGUCCCAGGGGCAUAUUACUACGGCGCCGUGGGAGGGGACGCCGCGGCGGCCGCCGCUGCUGGAUUGGCUUAUUACUACGGCGCGCCUAAUUCUUACUAUGCUCCCGUGAGCUUCUCUCUCUCUCUAUUCAUAAUGGGUUCUGCAUAUGUAAAUUGGCAAAUAGUUGAACCUUCGUACUUUAUGAAUCUUGUGUUCUGAAUAGUCUGAUUGCUGUAGUGCGUGGCAAAACUGUGCUUGCAAUGCUGAUAAUGUCUCUCAAAGAAACAUGGCAGUGAACAAUUGGUAGUUUUUUUUAGGUUGUAUUGAAUAUAAAUACUAAAAACACCGUUAUCUAACAGCUUAAGUUUUUUAAAAACACCAGUUAUUUUUAUAUCCCUUAACAUGGUAUCAGAGUAGGAUGUCUUGAGUUCGAGUCCCGUCAGGCUUCUAGCAUUAUUUAAUUUCCUUCCGUUUGAUUAAGUUUAUGUCUUGGGCAUACUAAGAAGUUUCAAGUUCAGACAUGAGAGGGAUUAAUUUUUAGGAGAACAACAAUUGUUUCAUAUAAUUUAAUAGGUUGCAUUACCUACAAUGCUAUGUUGUGCAUAUAAUCAGAACGACGCGAAAAUCGGAUGACUAUAUCGAGCACUUUGAUUCCCCGAUAUGUCCGUUUUACAUGUAGAGGGGCAUGACGAAGUAGGACCGGCAAAGUUUGAGAUAUGGGAAUUAGAGUUGUACAGAUAUAAUAUUAGAUACAUUAUAAGGUUAAACAAAUAGCUCUUGAUUAGUUAUCUGAUGCAAGGUUUCUGAAAUAACUUUCCAGAUCUUGGAACGCCUAUUUUGAGUGCACAUAAUGCUAUGUUGUUUCCUCUGUUUCCAUCCACUGUUAUAUUGGUGCAUGCAGAAUGGUUGCUAUCUGAGUAACUGUUCUUUUGAUUGAUGUCAUAGGAUCAAAAUUUUGAAGCUAAUCCUAAAAUAGUAUUAGAAGAGAGCUUUGAUAUCUAUUAGCCCAAUGAUAGCAUUAGUAAUGAUGGAAAGUGGAAAUACUGAAGGGGGACAUUACAUGUUGUUACGUUGUGGGGUGAGAGAUGAUGCGAGAAGAGGGGCGACUAAUGCCAGAGGAUGUCUAGAAUGAGUAACGCUAUAUUUUAGAAAUGUUUUUCUAUCUUCUUGGGGGGUACUUGCUGCUGCUUGAUAUGACAAUGCUGGGUAUUGUAUAGUUUUUCUGUAUUAUGGUAUUCUUGGUGAAGGAAAUGAUCAUGCUCGGAUGCUGUUGUUGAAGGCAAUUCUUGCUUUUCACGGUAAUUUGUUGGAUCACUUCUUGAUGUCAUAUAGUUACAUGAAACAUAUAGAUGAUUUGCUGCCUAAACAUUACUGGGGUUAAUCUGUUUAAUUAGUGCUUUCUGAAAUGGAGCGGGCAAUAUAUCAUGGAUGAAUAGCUCUGUAAGUGCUACAUCUGUUGAUCAUAGUACUUUUUUGUACUCGUUUUUUUCCUGAAUUCUCAUUUGAGUAUCAUUUAGUUUAUUGUUUAUAACAUCAUAAUAGGUAGUGGGCCAACAUCGUCACAUCUGCACAUUCUGUCAGCAGCUUGCUGUGCAUAUGUACUAUGCAGUAUAUUAUUCACAAUCAAAAGGGAAGCUACCUUUAGGACACAGGAAUAAUCAGAGACAUCACAAUAAAAUAUUUGAGUUACUUACAUAGCUAGUUUUUUUCUUUUUUUUUUUCCUUUCAUACAAUAUAACAACCUGAGGAAGGGGAAUUCGGAAAAAUCUCUUCAGAGAUGAUAGUUUAGAGUUCCAAAGCAGUUCCAGUAUCUAGACUUGAUUGGAGAAAUCAUUGCUUCCACACUUGGUGCACCGCAUCAACCUGUCGAGUGCCCUGAGUUUUACUCAACAAUCCAAAAGAAAAGUCCUUAAAACAGAAAAAGGCUGCAACUCACUAAAUCUGAGGACUUGGUGCACCGCAUCAACCUGUCGAGUGCCCUGAGUUUUACUCAACAAUCCAAAAGAAAAGUCCUUAAAACGGAAAAAGGCUGCAACUCACUAAAUCUGAGGAUUUAAGUAUGAGAUGGGAUGGAAAGUGGAUUACUGGGCAGUACGUGGUUUAGCGUGGUGCACCACAUGCAGUUAAUAAUUUCUCCAGUUGUUCUCCUCAUUGCUGUUACAAAAUGUUGUUUAUGACCUACAUGUGCACAUUCUGUUCCCUUGACUGCAGAGAUAGGGCCUAAGGGCAUCCCCAGUUUACCAUGGAGGAUUAUGAGGUUCGUAAGCAGUUUGCUUUUAGCUAUUGUAUUAAGAAGAAUAUACGUGAAAUCUAACAACAUUAUACCUAAACACGUGGCAAUAUAUUUUUGAACACUUGCAAGUUGAUUAUUCAUUACUUCAUACAAUAUACUUUUUCCUGUUAUCCAUCAUUUAGUCGGUGCUUAUUUUGUUGUUUCACAUCAUCUUCGUACAUGUCUUGAUUGCACUGGUGAUAGAUUCCCCCCUUUAGUAAUUUGCUUGUAGUAUUCGUAUGGAUUUGCAUUGCAACAAUUGUUAACAUGGCUUCUUUAUUUUAUGUCCUUCUAUUGUUUUUUUGUUUAUUUCAGAAGAGUAGCACCUUUUAGGUCAUCCAGCAAAAAACAUUGGUUGUUGUUAGUCAAUUCAGAUAAAAGUUUUGACACGAACUAUCUUUCAACUUUUUUUUUUUGGGUUGUAAAUUGUUGAAUGUUGAUUAAGAAAAAGUGCUUAGCCCUAUAGAAUGCAAGAAAGCAUACCCGUCAUCUUCUUUUCGCUUGUAAACAUCUAUCAAGAUAUUAAAGGAAAUGGAUUUUCUUAUAGCCUCUAGGUGGAGCUCAAAUUGCAAGUAGGAGUGCUCCUUUUAUUUCGCUGUGUUCUCUUUUGCAUCAAAUUUGUGUAGACCCCACAAACAUAAAACAUUGUGUUAUUUUGUUCUCUUCUAUGUUAACAACUGAUGACUCCAAUGCUCUGGGAGAACACUUGCAUGGUGAGUGGAUAUUGGUUUUGACACCUACCUACGUCACAUGAACUUGUUGGUAUGAUUCGAGUUUGGUUGUUGUUUCUACUACUAUGGGUUCGGUUGAUCUCAAAACAAUUUCCUUGUAGUGAUGUUAUUUUUCACGUUGUUAUAACACGAAGUUGCAUUAUUGGUUAAUUUGCAUAUUCUUUUCUCGUUUUUGUUUGUUUGGUAGUUUAUUGCAUACUAUUGUAGCAAAAUGUAUCUUGUGUUGAAGUUCAUAUUUUUGUUCUUUCUUUUGGGUAGCCUGUGGUAGGAUCUUCCAAUGGAAUUACUGCGACAACCUCACCCUACACUUAUCCCCCAUACUGGGUCAACCAAUAUCCACACCCGCCAACCAAGAGCGCUUUACUAAAACCCACCAAGAAGAAAGUCAAGAAGCCCCCCAUACCCCCGGCUUUCUGCGAAGUCUGCAAGGUCGACUGCAACAGCGCUGACGUCCUCAAAACCCACAAGCAAGGAAGGAAACACAAGAAAAACCUACAAAAGCUACAAGAAUCUAUUACCCCAAAGCCAGUAGUACAAGCUCCUACAACCACCGUAGCAUCGAGUCAGGAAACCCUAGAUGCUAACCAAGGGAAUACUGUAACCCUAGGCCAACAAACAAAGAAGAAGAAAAAGAAGGCGGCUGCAACGGCGGCAAGUGCCGAGGAGUUGGAGCUGAAGAAGAGAAGGGUUUUAACAGGAGGGGCUGCUGAGGAGAAUGUGAAGGUUUGCACGGUCUGUAAUGUUGUUGCUAACAAUCAGAAGGUUUUCGAUUAUCAUAUCGCAGGGCAGAAGCACGCGGCCAUGGUGAAAAAGCAGCAAGAACGAGAACGGCAAACAGCACCAGUGAGUUGAGGUAUAAAGAUUGUAGGGCUAAUUAGAGAUAGUUUUCUUUUUUUUUAUUUAUUUUCCCCUUUUUCAACCGUGUUUCUGAGGGAAAUGUGCAAAUGUGGCAUUCGUAAAAUAUGGGGCUCGGGUAUGUUACUUAAAUUGGGUCUCAUCUCAUGAUGCCCGGCAUAAUUGUGUCUCUAUGCAUGUGGGUUUAACUGCUUAAGAAAAUGGUAUUGCUGUUGAUUAGAAGAAUGUCUCAUUAUUAUUUUCAUCAUCAAAUAAUCUUGCACACAUAUUUCUCACUGUUGUUUUCUUCUAUCUGUAUACCUUUGAGAGACACUUAAGUUUAUGCAUUAUGUAUGAAGUGGAAGUUUUAUGUUUUUGCGAAGUUGCCCUCGAACUAUUGGUUGAGUUUCGCUUUAGUCCUCAACCUUUUUGAACUGAAAACAAGGAACCAACAAAAUGAAGUGUACUUGUGUGUACUCUGGGUGCUAAAUCCCUCAGUUUGUGUCCAAGGUUGAAGUGAAAAUUAGCAAAGAUUUUAGGGAGAAAAUGUGGAAUAUAUGCUUUUUUAUACAUCAUAUUUUACUGCUGCUGCUGCUGCUGCUGCUACUAAUGGUUCAGCAGAUUCUGAUGGCUUUGGCUUGUUGCCACCUCCAAACAGGGAGAUGUGAUUGAGGAGGGUAAUUCAACUUCACUUUGUCGCAAUUAAGCUAUGAACUUUGAUUUCUGUUUCAAUCAGAUCACUCUGAUCUUUUGCUGGUAAUGUGGAUUCUAGUCUCUUAUUGUCUCCAAGAGAGUUGUUUUUGUGUCGUAUUUCAAUCAGAUCACUCUGAUUGGUAAUGUGGAUUCUAGUCUCUUAUUGUGUCCAAGAGAGUUGUUUGUAGGGAUGCAAACGGGGCGGAUCUGGGGCGGGAGACCCACCCCGCCUCCCGCCCUGACUAGCAAAAAUCCGCCUCGCCUCCCGCCCCGAAUCCGUGACGGGUUAAAAAAUACAUCCCAUUAUUCGCCCCGCCUUGUAACCCGCCUCCCGCCGGCGCCCCGAAUCCGCCCCGCCAACUAAUAUUUUUUUAUAAAAUUAUAAUAUUAUCAAUAUUUUGUAAAAUAUAAAUUAAUAAUUUUUAAUAAUAUUAUAUAUAUAAUUUAAUAAUAUUAAUGGUAAAAAUUAAAAAUAUCAAUCACAAUUCAAAACAAAAUUCAAAUAUUUCAAAUACAUUAGAAAUGAGAGUAAUAACUUAUUUAUAUUUUAAAAUUUUUUUAUAAAUAUAUUAUUUUUUGGGAAUAUUUUUUAAAAAUACAAAUGAUAUUCGGGGCGGAUUCGGGGCGGAUCAUGGCGGGGCGGAUUCGGGGCGGGUCAAAAUUUUUCCCGUUUCCUGCCUCGAAUCCGUCUCGGAUCGUAAAACUUAUCCCGUUUCCUGCCCCGAAUCCGUUUAUUUUCUCCCAUUUACUGCUCCCGUCGGGGCGGAUCGGGGCGGGAGCUCCACCAACCCGGAUCCGUUUGCAUCCCUAGUUGUUUGUGUGUUGUAUUUUGUAGUUAAUGUGGUUGUGGAGGGUUCCAGUGAUGUGAUUGAAAUAGAAAGUAAAGUUUAAUGUGGUUGUGGAGGGUUCCAGUGGUGUGAUUGAAAUAGAAAGUAAAGUUUAAUGCGUCAAUCGCGACAAUCGAAGUUUUAAAUCAUUUUGAAUGGAGCUUCGCAAAAUUUUCAGUGCCCUAAGAUAUAAUUUUACCCGAAAUGAAUUAUCCCAUGCAAAAAAAAUUUCAAAUAGUUAAAAAAAAUGCAUGGAGGCCCCUCAACAAUAGUUCGUUUUGAAAUUGCCGCCAACUAAACAAAUAAAUUGUUUCGAUUUGAAUUUAAAAAUAAAUUGCUUCAUUAGCUGGUGGUAGGACGCAAAUUUACACUUUUUUCAACUGAAAAAAUAGUUGAGUCGCGAAACUCUGAUAAUUUACCAAAACUAAAAUCGAAAAUGAAUGAAACUUGAGGGGUGUCAACUGUAUUAAAAAAAAAAAGAAGAUAAAGUUCAGGGGCCUUUUCACAAAUUGGAGAGAACUCAAAUUGGGCCAAUCAUAACCCAUUGUUUUCAUACCGGGCCGGUUUAGGGGUGCGAUUAAAUUGUCCGGUUCAAGUCUGUCCGGUUCAACCGGAAAACCGGUUCAUCCAAUUGUGACACUUUAUAAUUAUUAGUUUUUUUCCCACUAUACCCACGAGUUAGUUAUCGUCGCACUCGCACCGAAGCGUUUCCUUUUUUUUUCUUAUUUUUUCCUUCUUUUUGUGAAAGUGUAUGGAGACCCCCUUCAACUAUAAUUCGUUGUGAUAUUGACCCCUCAACUUUAAUUUUUUUAAAAAAUUCCUUAACUUUUAUUUUUUUAAUUUAAUUUCUAUGUUAAUUAAGAUAAAUUUUUUUAUCAUAUUUAAUCAGUAUAUUUAAUAGAAAAUAUUAAUUAUUCUAAUAACAUUUGUUAGAAAGUGAUUAAGAAGUCAUGAAAUUUAUUGAAUCAACCAAUAAAUUUGACAAAAUCUCCAUUUUUUUUGACUAAAACCACUUAUUAAUUCCAAAAAAAAGUCUCAAUAAAAAAAAAUUAAAAGUUUAAGAGUUAAUUUCAAAAUAACUUAUAGUUGAGGGGCCUCGCUACAUUUUUAUUAUUAUUUUAUUUUAUUUUUCCUACUGCUAUAUAUUUGUCGGGAAAAACAGCUUUUCCAAACGCGGAUUAAAAAUGGUGAGUGAGAGCUCGGGAUCGUGCUUCUUUUUGUGGGUUUGAGUAGAUCGAGAGAUCGAGAUCGAGAGAGAGAGAGAGAGGGAUCUCGCGAUGGUGGGCUCCUCGACCCUCGGUUCGAUCCUCGUCUCCUUCCUCCUCCUCCUCCUCCUAGGAUCAUCUCAAUCCAAAACCGUGAAGAGAGAUGGUAAUGAUCGUCCCUUUCUGUAGCACUCCCUCUUUCUCUCUGAUUUUUACUCUAUUUUGAGAAUUGGGUACGAUUCAGCUUGCUGAGAUCUUGUUGUUUCGCGCUUAAAGGAGGAAUUUUUGAUGCGAAAUAUGGGUGGUUUGUUUAGAUUUGUUGGACGAAGUGCUUUUUAAUUAGUGGGUUCAGAAGAAGCAUUUUGUGUUCAAAAUUUCUGUCCACAGCUUCUACUUUUGGGUCUCAGAAUCUCAGUUCUAAUAUAAUUCCUGCUGUAGCAGUAGUGCGAGACUUUUCUAUUCGCCAAACGCUUGCUUUGUUGAUUCAAAAUAUGGUAUUUUCUUUGGAUUUUGAGGGCUUCUUCGGCCUUAAUGGAUGGUAUAGUGCUGUAGUGCUGUUGGACGAAGUGUUGUUUAACUAUUGCUUUGGAAAUAAGCAUAAUGGUAAAAUAUUUGGGCCUCAUAACCUUGAACCUUCCCUUUGAUUCCCGCUGCAGCGAUAAGUAUCACACUUUUUUGUUUGCAAAAUACUCUAACAGAGGUAGUUGUUGCUUAGGACCAAAUAGGCACUAAAUGUUGUUUUUUGCCUUUUACCCGUGAGAGCUAAGUCCUCUUUUCUGGCAUUCCUUUUCCAUAGUUAAAUGUGUUGGCUUAAAGGGAUGCCACGAGGCCCGAUCUAGCUGAAUCACGUUUAAAAUGGCAAGAGGCUGGGUUGGGCCGAGUCAUGUUCUCAGUGACAGGAGGCUGAGUUGGGCCGAGUCACAAUCGAGACCGGUGGGCACUGUCUCUAUACGCUUUAAGUGAAUUGGCAGCAUAUUUCUAGGAGCUUGAACUUUUGGAAUUAAUGUUUAGCGCGAAUGAUCCUACAAAAUGGAGCGUGUGCUUUUUGAUACGUGAGAUUGUUAUAGUAUUUACCAAUUAUUUUAAGUGUUUAGCAAGAAAUUUAGCUGAAGUUGCUGUUAGGACUUGAUAUUUUGGUUAUAUAAUUCUAGUCAUUUAUGUAGAAAUUAUGAGCCCAGUAGCUAAUUCCCAGUUAGUUAAGUGGCAUGACCUACGAACAUUAGAUAAUGCUGGUCAUUUAUGUAGAAAUUAUGAGCUUAAUAGGUAAUUCCCAGUUAGUUAAAUGGCACGACCUACGAACAUGAUUUUUAGUUUUUAUGUGAUUACUUAAUAUUAUUAAAUAAUCUACCUCUUCUAAACUGUUAAGCUUCUGGUGUGAGUGACUGCUUCAUCAAAGUGGUCUCUUUGUAUCGGCGUUGAAAGUUAGAAUGAUGUAGAAGGAACUAAGGUUGAGGAGGAAAUAUCCUGUUUGAACUAGUCUAAUAUUUUUCAAUAAUGCAUCAUGGUGAGAUUUUUUUUUUUAAAAAAAAAAUAUUUCAUGACAAGUCGUCCAUCAUUAAUUCUUUUUUUUUUCACUCCAAUUAAAUUGCUGGAGCGCAGUGUGUAAUUCAUUUGGGUGAAUAGUCUCUAGUAACAUUAUUUUAUGAUAAAAUCAUCUAGCAUUUUGUUCAAUUCUACUCAAAAGUAUUGGUUACUUUCCUUUUCUCUCUUUUAACUAUUGUACUUGAAAACUGGGUUUUGUUCAGUAAAAGCACUGAAUGAAAUCAAGGCUUCAUUGGGAUGGAGGGUUGUUUAUGCAUGGGUAGGAGAUGAUCCGUGCGGAGUUGGUGAUCUUCCCCCGUGGUCCGGAGUGACAUGCUCCCAGCAAGGAGAUUACAGAGUUGUUACAGAAUUGUAAGAAAGCAAACUCUCCUUACUUAUGUUCUACUGUUGAUAUAUGCUGCAGAAAGUUAAGGCAGUGUGAAACUACGAGUAACUUCUAACCAUUAAAAUGUCAUCUCAUUUUUAGAUGUUGAUUUCUGAAUAGGUUGACUUAUCUGUGACAUUUCUGCAAAAUAUGAUGGUUUUAAAUCCCAGCCAUUUUUUAUAACUAAACUAGAUAUUAUAUUCCAUCAGAUUCUCGUCCACCCCCCCACCCCAAACCCCUCUCUUAUAUCAUGUUAUAUAACGUGGUCGUAGUUUUUCUGCAGGGAAGUUUAUGCAGUAUCACUUGUUGGUCCUUUUCCGACUGCUGUUACAAAUCUCUUGGAUUUAACAAGACUGUAAGAACCAUUUCCUCUUCAAUUCACACGAGAGUUAAUUCUGUUUCUGAUGUCGUAGUCACUUCCACAUAAUAUUCAUGUAGCUUGUUUUUACCCUUGCAAAAUUAUCUAUUAAAUACAAAUCUCUGCUAAAUUUGAGUUUUCAUGUAUACCAUGCAAAACUUAAUCCUUACAUGUAUACCCAUGUACUUGCCAAAAAUGGCCCUCUUUAGAAACUUCUUCUAGUGCAAAUUCAUCCACCAUGAAGUGGAUCACUACCCACUAUUUUAUAACAAAAGAUAAAAUAAAACAUGAUUAAGUUAGUAACAUCAGAAUUCGGAUGUUCAUUGUGCAAGAUCAAAAAGAGAUGUUUCUAUUUUAAUUCAUAUUUUGUGAAAGGGGACUAAUUUUCUGAACUUAACUUUCUCUGAACGACAGGGAUCUCCAUAAUAACAAGUUGACUGGGCCCCUCCCUCCUCAGAUUGGACGGCUGAAACACCUCAGGAUAUUGUAUGAAUCUCAUCAGCUUAUCCACUAUUAUUUUGUCAACACUUCGGAGUUUCUUCCCCUUGAUUCUUUAGUUCUAAAAGUUUUAAUGCAUCAAGUUUCGAAACUGAGUUGGUUAUACUCUUCAUUGAAAUACUUCUUGAAGUGCUACAUUAUGAAAACAAAAAAGCAAAAAUUGGCAUUUAAAAGUUCACUGAUGGGCUUGAAAACCAAGAAGUGAGUUAUUACUCUAAUCAUUAAAACCAAGAAGUGAGUUAUUACUCUAAUCAUUCUUCUAAGAACUAAAUCGAGUUCUCUCCGUUUCCGCAUUGCCGAAAAAGGAAAAAAAAUUCCAACCUUUAUUUUUCUUGAAUACAUACUAUGCCUCUAACAUAUGAUGCCUAGUUCAAACAGCUACUUCAAAAUAAUGACAAAAUGUUGUCUUUUUUCUCUUUUUCCCCCUAAUUUUCUCGGUCAUUCGCAUCGUAGGAACUUGAGAUGGAACAAGCUUCAAGAUGUCAUUCCACCUGAAAUCGGUGAAUUGAAGAAACUAACCCACCUGUAUGUUUCUCAAUUUUUAUGAUCAUCUUAAGUACUCUUCCAUUCUAGAUUAUUUCUUUUAUUAUAGCAAUGAUUGGCUAUAAGUAUUCAGGUACCUGAGCUUCAAUAACUUCAAAGGUGAAAUACCUGUCGAACUUGCUAACUUACCGGAACUUCGCUAUCUUUACCUUCACGAGAACCGCUUCACCGGCAAAAUCCCCCCUGAGCUGGGAAACCUCAAAAACCUACAUCACCUGUAUCCCUCUCUCUCUCUCUCUCUCUCUCUCUCUCUCUCUCUCUCUCUCUAGUGUGUGUAAGUGCGAUUAUUGGGCACUGAACUUAUCAUGAAAUUACACUUUUUUUCUUAAACUUUAAUUUGUUGAAACUUAUGCACUGAACUUCAUGUUCUAUCACAAUCAGCUCCGUCCAUCGUGAGCGGUUUAAUUAUGGGAUGACAGGGCAGCCGAUUCGGCUGCUAUGUUUUCUUGAACUACUAAUGAUAUGCCAUGUCAUCUCCAAAUGUCGCAACAGAAUCAAAGGUGAUGACGUGACCACUAAAUUAGCUAGUUAAACAGCCCUUGACAGAAGGACCCGGUUGGUACACAGUUGAAGUUUAGCGCAUCGAUUGCAACAGUACAAAAUCAGGUGAUCUAAAUGAAAUUUCAUGAUAAGCUCCGUGCCUGAAUAUGUUUAUUUAUUUACGUCGACCAUUUAGAAGAAUCAUUGGUUGAUUUACACCUUUCCCACCGUGAUGUAUUUAUCUUGGUUUCGCGAUGAUACAGCAAUAAGUGAAGAGUUCAUUAAUAAAAGAUUAGUUAAAUACAGUACAAGCUGGUUCUGAAAGCCAAGAUUUGGUACAACGAUUUUCGAAAGCAUAACCAGCAAUACGAUGGGCAAGACUAUUGUCUUGUUUUUGCGAUGUAUUGUCUUGUUUCUCUUUAGUAUUGUGUGACAAUGUUGUGCUCACUAAAUGGUAAAAUAUGUUCAUCAUACUAACUGUGAAUCGCUCCUCAGAGAUCUAGGUAACAACCGCUUAACUGGAACGCUAAGGGACUUUAUCCGCUAUGGGAAUGGCUUUCCUUCCCUGCGCAAUCUGUAAGUAAAUAUUGUUGGUUUUGGUCAUUAUAAUCUAUAGUUCUUUUUUCUUUCCUUUUUUUUGUUCAUUUUAUAAUCUAUCUUUAUAGCUGUUGGUGUUGGAAAUUUGAUUUUCAGAUACCUAAACAACAACCAAUUAAGUGGAGGAAUACCCGAUCAGAUUGCAAACUUGACCAACCUGGAAAUCUUGUAAGUUGCUUUGCUUAAUAAAACAAAAAUUAACCUCAUGUAGAAAUUGGUCCUUGUGCGCUUCUUUCCUUGUAAUUCGAAUCCCUCGAACAACAUGUUGUUUGUUUUCAGAGAAGUUUAAGAAGUUGCAUAGGAGCUUUAAUGGUUUCUUUAAAUGCUUCAAAAUAUUUUUGUCAAAGAAAUUAUAGAAACUAAUAUGUUCAUCCUAAAAUCAAGCAUUUUGAGGGGCUUACAUUUUCAUCUUCUUUUUUUUUUUUUCUUUAUUCAGUUUAUUUCACCAUCAUUUUCGUGAUGAUAAGAUAAUUUCUCACAGGUAUUUAUCAAACAAUAAAAUGACCGGACCGAUCACUACAAAGCUUGUUCAAAUUCCGAGAUUAACCUAUUUGUGAGUCCUAUUUACAUCUUUUGUUCGAUUUCCAUCUAGAGAAACAAAAUACAAGUCUAAGUUCACCUCCUUUUUGUUUUCCCUUCAGGUACUUGGAUAACAAUGCAUUCACUGGGAGAAUCCCCGAAGGAUUAUACAAACAUCCCUUCUUGAAAGAGCUGUGAGCAUAUUUAGAACAUCAGUUUCGUCGAAACAUUUCAUUAUCAUCGAGAUUUUUACGUAUAAACCCCCAACAAGCUUGUGUUUUAUCCAUAUGCGCCGUUCAGAAACCUAAGUUUCUUAAAAAUGAUUCGAGUCUCUUUCCGCAAGAAACUUAGUAAUAAAAUCAUGAUUUUAAAGGUUAUAUAUGUAUAUGAAAAACAUAUAAUUUGGUGAGUAUGUUAACGAAUGAUCGAUUUGUCGCAGGUACAUUGAAGGUAACCAAUUCAAGCCCGGUGCGAAGCCGAAGGGCACGCAUAAGGUGCUCGAAUUAACCGACACGGAGUUAUUGUUCUAAUGAUGGGGUUUUAUUCAGAGGUUAUUUUUCAGGUGAAAAUGACAAGCACAUUUUGGUAGUUAUUAUAUAUAUUACAGGAGAGGCAUUUAAUAGCAAAAGUUUAAGUAAAUUGCAAGUGUUAAGUGGUUAUUCUUGUGUGAUUUAUAUGGUUUGAUACAAUAUAAUAUAUAAGGUUUUAUCAAGGCUAUAUGAGCCGUUGGAUUUUGAUCAGGCAAAAAAGGGUAAACAAAAAAAGGAGCACAGUGUCCUAGACGAGGAGUGAAGGGGUUGGAUGUGAUAGUUUUGUGUGGGCUGAUUUUUUUGAAUUUAUUUGUAAUUUUAAAAAAUAGUAGUAAUUAUGCGUUUGGUAAAAAAAAAAAGAAAAAGAAGCAAUACUAUUGUUUGGUAAUUCGGUUAAAUUCCUCGAAAAAAAAAAUUUUCGCUAAAUUUUUUUUUUCCAAACAAUAGUUGUCCCUCAAAUUUUUUUUGAAAAAAUUAUUUUAUAAAUUUUGGAAAAAAAAUCGAGUUUGUGACUUGAGACUUGAGAGCAAGCAGUAGAAAUGGCGCUAGGUUUGGGAAGAAGAAGAAGGGAAAUCGGGGCUUUCGAGAACAGGAUGGGGUGCGGUCCACGAGGCCACUUUGGCCUCGUGGACCGCAUGAGAGGGAGGUCCACCGUGGACCUCCCUCUCAUAAGUCAUUAACUUUAUAUAUAUAUAUAUAUAUAUANUCCGAGGCGGCGGGGGACAGGAGGAGGGGGUCGCGGGCGGUGGAGAGGAGGGUGAGGAGGGAGGCGACGGUGAAGAAGGCGACGGUCCGCCUCUUUUUUUUUCGGCGAGAAAAAAAAAAAGAACGACAGAAAAGAAGAGGAGAGAGAAAGAGGAAAGAGAAAAAAUAAUCAGGGUAUUUUGGUCAGUUUGCUAAACAAGCGGACCGAAUCUGCAAAAACGAAAAAGAUGACCCGAUUUUACAAAAGUUCAAAAUAAGUGAAUUUUUUAUACAAAAAGGCCAAAUUUUUAAAAAAUUCUAUUUAUGAAAAGGCCAAGAUGGUGGGAUCGUCGUACAUUUCUCUCCCCCUUUACUUGUGGCUUUCUUUUUUUGUUGAAGUGUUACACUUACAAUUUACUCAUAUUAUUUUUCUUAAUUUAUCAAAAAAGACUCGCAAAUUAUUUACAAGUUUUUAGUCGUCUAAAUAUUUCCCCAAAAUUGUUCACUAAUAUAUUAAUGGUAACAAAGAAAUUUACAAAAUUUCUUUGGAUUUUAGCAAAUAAAUAAAUUAAUUAAACAAGUGAACAAAUAUUAGCCACAAAAACAAAAGGUGUAAAUUUUAUACUUAUAUAUAAUAUUUAUAUAUAUAAAAGGUGUCUCGAUCUCUGUUAGUUAAUUAGCGAAUUAAGUUCCUUCGUCGACGAAUGCCAGUCACGCCUUCUCUUUUGAAUAAAAUUCUCGCUUCUCGGAGAAUGCUAUAUAAGUUGAUCAAUUAGCUAAUUAGGGUCUCUCUAGCAAAAAUUGCAUACACACUAUUUUAUUCGAAUUUUCAAUAAUUCGUGAAUAAUUCGCUAUUUUUUUUAGAGAAAUCGUUCGAGAACAGAAUUUAUUUAAACAAAAUGAGACGAUACAUAAUUGAAAAAGUCCUUAAAAGAGGACCACAAUGUACAAUUUUUGCUAGAGAGACCCUAAUUAGCUAAUUGAUCAACUUAUAUAGCAUUCUCCGAGAAGCGAGAAUUUUAUUCAAAAGAGAAGGCGUGACUGGCAUUCGUCGACGAAGGAACUUAAUUCGCUAAUUAACUAACAGAGAUCGAGACACCUUUUAUAUAUAUAAAUAUUAUAUAUAAGUAUAAAAUUUACACCUUUUGUUUUUGUGGCUAAUAUUUGUUCACUUGUUUAAUUAAUUUAUUUAUUUGCUAAAAUCCAAAGAAAUUUUGUAAAUUUCUUUGUUACCAUUAAUAUAUUAGUGAACAAUUUUGGGGAAAUAUUUAGACGACUAAAAACUUGUAAAUAAUUUGCGAGUCUUUUUUGAUAAAUUAAGAAAAAUAAUAUGAGUAAAUUGUAAGUGUAACACUUCAACAAAAAAAGAAAGCCACAAGUAAAGGGGGAGAGAAAUGUACGACGAUCCCACCAUCUUGGCCUUUUCAUAAAUAGAAUUUUUUAAAAAUUUGGCCUUUUUGUAUAAAAAAUUCACUUAUUUUGAACUUUUGUAAAAUCGGGUCAUCUUUUUCGUUUUUGCAGAUUCGGUCCGCUUGUUUAGCAAACUGACCAAAAUACCCUGAUUAUUUUUUCUCUUUCCUCUUUCUCUCUCCUCUUCUUUUCUGUCGUUCUUUUUUUUUUUCUCGCCGAAAAAAAAAGAGGCGGACCGUCGCCUUCUUCACCGUCGCCUCCCUCCUCACCCUCCUCUCCACCGCCCGCGACCCCCUCCUCCUGUCCCCCGCCGCCUCGGACCCCCAGCUCGAUCCUGUCGCCGCGGCGGCAGCGGCCGCGGCGAACGGGGUCGGGCUGGAUGCGAAGAAGAAGACGACGGCGAAGAAGAAGGGAAGGCCGAGCGGCAUGGCGCAGGAGGGGGAGGCGGAAGCACAGCCGGCGCCGGCGCCGCGGACCCCCAGCCCGAUCCCGUCGCCACAGUGGCAGCGGCAGCGGCCGCGGCAAACGGGGUCGGGCUGAAUGCGGAGGCCGAGGCGGAGAAGAAGACGACGGCGAAGAAGAAGAAGGGGAGGCCGAGCGGCAAGGCGCAGGAGGGAGAGGCGGAGGCGCAGCCGGCUCUGGCGAGGAGUGGAGACCAUUACACCAUUACACUAUUUUGCACCAUUACACCAUUACACCAUUUGCAGCAGGAGGGAGAGGCGGAGGCGCAGCCGGCUCUGGCGAGGAGUGGAGACCAUUACACCAUUACACUAUUUUGCACCAUUACACCAUUACACCAUUUGCACCAUUACACCAUUACACCAUUUUGCACUAUUACACCAUUACACCAUUUGCACCAUUACACCAUUACAAUUUUGCACCAUUACACCAUUAUACUAUUUGCACCAUUACACCGUUACACCAUUUGCACAAUUACACUAUUACACCAUUACAUCAUUUGCUGGUCGGCAAAUUAGAUCUUAAAAUUUUAUUAAAUAAUUUUAUAAGCUUUUGUUUUUUUUUUUUUUUCAUGAAAGUUUCUAAUCACAAUGCUGUUUUGCUCUUUUGUAUGAUAUAUAAUCUUAUAAAAUUUAAAAAUAUAUAAAAUAUAUUUUUUUAUUAUAAUACGUAAGAAAUAAUUUAAAUUUAAAUUAGAUACGGGCAAUUCUUCAAUCCUAAUACUUAAUUAUCAUAACCAGGAGAGAAAAAAAUAACAUUUAAUUUGUUUUGAAGUUACAUAAAAUUAUAUACAUCACAUGCAACUAAAAUGACUUUCGAUUUAGUAACAUUCCUCGAACAAUUUUAUUUAACUAUUUGAUAUUUAAAAAAUAUAAUUUUACAAUCUAAUUUUUUAAUUAUUUGAUUUGAGCUAGUUAGGAAUUCUUUAACUUUAAAUAUCAAACACAUUGUUUAUCUUUAUAAGUUUUGUUAAUAUAUUUUUAUACAAUUUAUAUAAUUACAAAUUUGUUAUAAUAAAUAAUUAACUUAAAUUUUUAUAUUCGAAGAGCUAUCAAAUUAAUUAAAUUAAAACAAUCGGAAUAUUAAGUACAAAAAAUAAAAUUUUACAGUCGAAUCAAAUAAUAUUUUUUUUAAAAAAAAAUAUAGUUAUCAACAUUGAAAAUUUAAAGAAUUUAUUUGUCAUAUUUUUCAAUUUUUUUUAAAAAAAUUAUUUUUUAAUCCAACUCUCUAGAAGCUACUAGUUUGUUUCCAAAGAAGCUCCGAGAAAACAAACGAACUCACUCCACACUCUCUCUCUCCUCUAUCUCCUAUUGCAUAUAAAUAAAGGAAAUAUAUUUAUUUCCUCUUUACCCCCUCAACAAUUCCUCUAUUCGCAGCGAGUCCCUCGCCGGACCCUAAACGAAACCCCCCUCGCCUCCGCCGAUGUCCACCGCGCUCGCCUCCGCCGGCGCCGGCGCAGCUGCCCUCGUCCCCGCUCCGUCGACCUCCUCCUCCUCCUCCCCCUCCCUCCCCCUCUCUGUCUCCUUCGCUCGGCGCGGCGCCGCGCCGAGAGCCGCGCCGCCGAGGGCUCUGAGAUGGUCCGGAGCGCGCGGCCUCGGGGGGAGCGAUGCGCUCUUCGUUAAGAGGUCGGGGAGGUCCCGGAGGGGCUCGGAAUCGGUCGUUGUUAGAUGCGAAGCGCCCAGGGAUGGGAGGGUAAAUGAUGUGCUUUGCUUUUAUUUGUCUCUUUUUCUCAUCUUUUGGAAGAUCUUUUUAGGGUUUUUAGUGUGAAUUAUUAGUUAAAUUUGAUGAAUGUUCUAAAUAUGGCUAUCUGGGUAAUGAUUAUUUUGCUUAGUUUCGUCUUAAACUGUUAUCAAAAAUGAAUCUUGGAGCAAAGUUGAGUCUCAUGAAUAUCUCACUUAUCUCACUCUUUUACCAAUCUAGGUUUAGUUUUCAUUUCACAAGGCCUCGUUUGGUUCGGGUACAAGUAAGAAUUGCCUAUUUCAGGGAUAGGUAUAAUAAGUUCAGGUAUAAGCUUGGUCUAUGGAUAGGUAUAAUAAGUUCAGGUAUAAGCUUGGAAUAGACCAAUUUUGCGUUUGGAUGAAAAUUGAAUCGUUAGAAAACUAACGUUUGGAUAGAUAAAGAUGGAAUAAGAAGAAUAGUUGGUAGUUAUAAAUAAAAAAAUAAUGAUAUUGCCCUUAUAUUAUAUUUGAAUUUAAAAUUUUAAAUUUUGUAUCUAAAUUUUUAAAUUUAUAUAUAUAACUUUUAAAUUUCAAAAAUUCAAAAUUUAUAUUUAAAUUUUUAAAUCUCAAAUUCCAAAAUUCAAAGUUCUAAAUUUUACAUUUAAGAUUAAAUAUAAAUUUAAAAAUCUAAAAUAUCAAAUUUUAAAUUUAAAAAAUUUAAAUUGUCAAUUUUAAAAUUUAAAGUUUUAAUUUUAAGAUUACAAAUUAUAAAUUUUAAAAUUUUAAAAUUAAAAUUUAAAUUUUUUAAAAAUUAAAUAGGGGUGGGAACAACUGUUUCUACCCCUAUUCCCAUACAAGGGGUGGGAUAGUUAUCCCACCCUUUUUUUUUUUUGUGUUUGGAGAUAAGCGGGAUAACCCUUUAUCCCCCCCAAUCAAACGAAAACUGUGUGUUUUAUGUCUAUUUUUGUAAGCAACUGUAACUUUAGAAUUAAAAACAGUUUAUAGUUUAUGAAUAUUUGAAUGCACUCAUUAAUAUCCCUUCGAACAGCCCCUUCGAACAGCUUCGAACUAUAGUUGAAGCUUCAAAUUAAAGCUUUUACUUUUGAGUUGUAAAGCUCGUUUCAGCUUAUCAGGAUUUUGUUACCAAAUGCUUAGCUGCAGCUUUUUGCAACAUAGAAGCUAUUCCAGAAGUUAGGGCAAAUAAGCAUCUAUUCUGCUAGACGCUUCAUUUGUCUAAUUUUAGUUUCUUGUAAUUCCUCUAUAUAUAUAUAUAUAUAUCUUUGAUCUCGCCAUUGAUAUUAUGCCACCAAUUAUAUCACAUUUGAACCUAGAAAGAGAUUUGCAAUUCUAGCAAUAGUAAUUUGGUCUGUAAUUGUACAAUUUAGUUUAUUUCUUUUUCUUGGUCAUAAUUGUAGAUUACCCAACAAGAGUUCACCGAGAUGGCUUGGCAAGGAAUUGUUUCGUCGCCUGAGGUGGCGAAGGAGAGCAAGCACCAGAUUGUGGAGACGGAACAUCUGAUGAAAUCCUUGUUGGAGCAAAAGAAUGGGCUUGCUCGUCGCAUCUUUUCCAAAGCCGGAGUUGAUAAUACCAAGCUUCUAGAUGCUACCGAGAGGUUCAUCCAGCGGCAACCUAAAGUGAGAUGUGUGAUCUAUGAAGUUUCACUCUUUUCCUAUUGUUAAUUUGUUAUCAUAUUUAACGCCUUUUUGUAGUUUCUAGCCAUAGUUUAGAUUAACUAGUUUAAUCAGUGGUCGAGUAUGCUUAAAUGUUAAUACCUAAUGAUUUCCUAGGUUUUGGGUGAAUCGGCCGGUUCUAUGUUAGGACGGGAUUUAGAAGCUUUGAUUCAGCAAGCCCGGGAAUACAAGAAGGAGUACGGUGAUUCAUUUGUUUCGGUUGAGCAUCUAGUACUUGCUUUUGCAGACGACCGGCGUUUUGGGAAACAACUCUUCAAGGAUUUCCAAAUUACCCUUCAAACUCUAAAAUCUUCUAUCGAGGCAAUACGAGGACGGCAGAAUGUUAUUGACCAAGGUAUGUAAUUUUUAUUUAAUCGUGUUGUAGCACCUUGGCAAUUUUAGGGCAUAAGAUACCUUCCCUUUUUCAAUAUGUGGGAGUGUUCUUCGGUUACUUUUGCUGCGCUUGAAUCUACUAAUUAAUUCAAAUGAGUAAUGACAGAUCCAGAAGGCAAAUAUGAGGCCCUGGAGAAAUACGGGAAGGACUUGACGGCUAUGGCACGUGAAGGGAAGCUUGAUCCGGUUAUAGGGAGAGAUGACGAAAUACGCAGAUGCAUACAAAUUCUGUCGAGGAGAACAAAAAACAAUCCUGUAUUGAUUGGUGAACCUGGUGUUGGGAAAACUGCAAUAUCAGAAGGGUACGAACAUAAAAAAGAAUAAUUUGUCUCUACAUCAUCCUUUAAAAUGAGUUUUUACAGUACUAACAUGUUUUUUCUUCGCAGGCUUGCCCAGAGAAUAGUGCAAGGGGAUGUUCCGCAAGCUUUGAUGAAUCGCAGGGUAUGCAUUAUUGAAGUCAAGUUGAAUUAGAAUUUUGUCUGGAUUCAGUUUGAUUUUAGUCAUUAGUGUUAUUCAAUUUCUUUUGGAGUUGUGGUUUCAAACCAAUGCCUGGAAUAUGAUGUCAAUUUUGCUGAUUAUUUUUUAAUCGAUAUUGCAAUGUUUCAAGUUUUGGAAAGUUUUGAUUUGAUCUAUUUUAGUAUUAUGGUUUUGAUUUGUUACAUGAUAAGAAACAACCGUUGUUUUCAAAAAGCUUAAAUCUAUUAGAGUAGUGUUCUUUUAAUUUAUUAUACAUUCAACACUUCUCCUCUCAUCUUGGAUCAAGACGUUUUGAUAGGCCCAAGACGUGGACUUGAAAUCUUGAACUAAUGGAGGGAGGAAAUUAAUAAUACUAGGAGCCUUACGGGACUCAACUCAAUAUCUCCUGCUUAGAUACUCUCUUAAAUUAUAAGAACAACCUUUUUUAAAACUUAUUAUGUAUUCAACAUAAUUAUCUUUGGUCCUUUCUCGUUUCUUCCAAUUUUGGGCUUGGAUGUAGUUGGUUGCAUGGCCUUGUUCCUCUUUUGCAACUUUUUUUAGGAUUAUAUAUAUAUAUAUAUAUAUAUAUAAGCUUAUUGGAUAAUUUAGGAUCCCUGGCAGAGCUGCUGGUUGUGCCACAGGUUGUCAUUGACGUUCUAGGGCUGUUUUAGGAUAACUCCUCUUUGGGUUUUGAGUUAGAUUUGUCACAGUGAACUGCCUUUACUCCUAUAGAUUUCGAGUUAUAAUUGUCCUGGGUAUACACAGCAUAUUCUGUAGACGUUUUAUGAAGAAACUGCUAUUCUUCUGAUGAUUUUAAAGUUGCUAGUGAUUUACUUGGGAUUUCUUUAUCUUUUCUCUUACAAUUACUGUUGGCAAACAUGUCUUAUCUUGACAUUAUAUUUUACUUCAUCACUUGCCUCCGAGUAUGUUUAAGUUCAUCGAAUAAUGAUUGCGCUUUUUAGCAUUCUUUUCAGUUACACAUAAACAUAGUUUCGGAUGAUGGUGUGAUUGCGGAUGAUAGUGUGAUAUUCCACUUCAACAUGAAUUAUGGAUUCUCUUACUGCUUUGUUUCUUAUUUUCUCAGCCUUUGUUAUGAACAGCUAAUUUCCCUCGACAUGGGUGCUCUCAUUGCUGGAGCAAAAUAUCGUGGAGAAUUCGAAGAUAGAUUGAAAGCUGUGUUAAGAGAAGUGACUGAAUCUGAUGGGCAGAUAAUCCUUUUCAUUGAUGAGAUUCACACCGUCGUGGGAGCAGGUAAUUCAGCUAGCAGUUAAUAAUAUAGUUAAAUUACCUACUAAUUGAUGCAUUUUCAGCUUGUUUCUUGAAAUUUACCAUCACUCCAUACUUUCUAUGCAUGUUUAGGCAACAGACUUCUUGACCACUUUAAUUCUCGGAAAAUUAUCUGUUUACAUAUAUUCUACUAAGAAAUCUUAUUUCUGAAAUAUAUGCCUCACAAGUGUUGUUUCGUAUGAAAACACCCUUAUCUUAAAUUUCAGAGGCAUUUAUACAAAUAUUUCUAGUUUAUGUAUCAAAAAAUUUGAUGCUGAUGAAUGCCCUUUGACUUGUUCAGGGGCCACAAACGGUGCCAUGGACGCAGGCAAUCUGCUGAAGCCAAUGCUGGGGCGGGGUGAGCUGCGCUGUAUUGGUGCAACAACCCUUGAUGAGUAUCGCAAAUACAUCGAGAAAGACCCUGCCUUGGAGCGGCGUUUCCAGCAAGUCUUUGUUGAUCAACCAUCGGUCGAGGACACAAUUUCAAUACUGCGCGGAUUGCGAGAGCGCUACGAGCUCCACCAUGGUGUCCGCAUCUCCGAUAGUGCUCUCGUUGAGGCUGCGAUUCUAUCUGACCGCUAUAUUAGCGGGCGGUUUUUGCCCGACAAAGGUGAGAUUGCAAUAGCCGCCUCAGAAGAUCAAUCAUUUAAUAAUCUAUUUCCUGAUGAAUUUUCGAGAAAGAGUUAUGCUGCGGUACCUCAGAAGGUACUGCAGAUGGUAGCUGACAAGUCAGCACGUAAUAAUUGAUCGUCUUCUAAUUAGAGGUUUAUUCUUUUGAUUGCAGCUAUUGAUUUGGUCGAUGAGGCAGCUGCUAAAGUGAAAAUGGAAAUUACAUCUAAACCGACUGCUUUGGAUGAGAUUAAUCGUGCUGUAUUGAAGCUAGAGAUGGAACGACUCUCUCUCAAGAAUGAUACAGAUAAAGCAUCGAAAGAUAGAUUAAAUCGCCUCGAAGCUGAGUUGACACUGCUCAAAGAGAAGCAGGCACAACUAACUGAGCAAUGGGAGAAGGAAAGAUCAAUAAUGAUGAGAAUUCAGUCUGUUAAGGAAGAGGUACUGUUGAUUUUUCUUUUAGCGCUCUUAGUAUGAACGAUGUUGGGGCUUGGCUUUUACAUAUUUAUACCUGCAAAAUGUUGGGUAAUACCUAGUUUGUUUUGAUGCCUAUUCAACGAAUGUUAGUUGAACUUUACAAUAUAGCUUUUUACCUGUUUUCUUAGAUAUUGGAGCCUUUUGUUGUAGAAGAUCAAUAUUUGGGUUGCUUAGCUCAACAGAAAAGUGUUAUCCUUGUUCUUAUAAUGUCCUAAAUGUUUCAAAUGCUAGUUAUUUCUCAUACUCGCCUCUUUCUUCACGCAGAUCGACAGGGUCAAUUUGGAAAUUCAGCAAGCGGAACGCGAGUACGACCUGAACCGUGCUGCUGAACUCAAGUAUGGGAGCCUCAUCAGCUUGCAACGCCAGCUUCAAGAAGCUGAAAAGGAGCUCGAUGAAUAUCAAAGCUCGGGCAAGUCCAUGCUCCGCGAAGAAGUCACCGGAAACGACAUUGCCGAAAUUGUGAGCAAAUGGACUGGAAUCCCUGUUUCCAAGUUACAACAAUCUGAGAGAGAGAAACUACUUCAUUUGGAAGAAGAGCUGCACAAACGCGUAGUAGGUCAAGACCCAGCGGUCAAAGCAGUGGCCGAUGCGAUCCAACGGUCGAGAGCGGGCUUAUCGGAUCCUAACCGCCCUAUCGCAAGCUUCAUGUUCAUGGGUCCGACUGGUGUCGGGAAAACCGAGCUGGCGAAGGCCCUGGCUUCUUACAUGUUCAAUACCGAGGAAGCGCUAGUUCGAAUAGACAUGAGCGAGUACAUGGAGAAGCACACGGUUUCUAGACUAAUCGGGGCCCCGCCCGGUUACGUAGGGUAUGAAGAAGGCGGCCAACUCACCGAGACGGUUCGCCGACGGCCGUAUGCCGUCAUUCUCUUCGACGAGAUCGAGAAGGCCCAUUCCGAUGUGUUCAAUAUUUUCCUGCAGAUAUUGGAUGAUGGUCGGGUUACCGAUUCCCAAGGUCGGAAAGUGAGCUUCACUAAUACGGUUAUAAUCAUGACAUCGAAUGUGGGAUCGCAAUACAUACUCAACAUGAACGAUGAGGUCGAAUCGAAGGAAAACACUUACGAGAUUAUUAAGAGUAGGGUGAUGGAGGCUGCGAGAUCGAUUUUCCGGCCGGAGUUUAUGAAUCGGAUCGACGAGUACAUCGUCUUCCAGCCUCUGGACCGCGAGCAAAUAAAUAUGAUUGUAAGGUUACAGGUAUGUUUACAGUUCAGAAUCCCUAAUUCCAGCUUUCAAUAUGCUUCUCAUAGCUUUUUCUGGUGAUUCAACUUUUUUACUUACUUUCACCCCCGUUUUCCGAAACAGCUGGAGCGAGUUCAACAAAGACUCGCGGACCGGAAGAUCACAAUCCAAGUCACCGACGCGGCCUUGGAGCUCCUGGGAAGCCUUGGCUAUGACCCCAACUACGGCGCGAGGCCCGUCAAGCGCGUGAUUCAGCAGCACGUCGAGAACGAGCUCGCUAAAGGAAUCUUGAGGGGAGAGUUCAAAGACGAGGACACCAUCUCAGUGGACACCGAGGUUAUGGCGUUUUCCAACGGCCAGCUCCCGCAGCAGAAGCUCGUCUUCCGGAAGCUGAAUCCAGAGUCCUCUUCGGGCCACCCGGCUUCCGAGGGUGAAAAGGCAUUCCAGCCGAGCCGUUGAGGGGUUUCUUCGACUUCUGUUUUCAGCUAUUUCGCCGUAAAAUAGUCUUUUACAAUGUCAUGGCGUAGUGAUGCUGUACUAAGCCAAAAAAAACUAACCAAAUGCUUCUCCCUCUUAAGCAUAUGGUAUGGUACAAAAGGAAAAUAUAUGUAUACAAUGUGGAUUUUUGGCUACUUUUGUCUUUUAUUGUAAAUGUAAAUGCAAUUUUUUUCUGCAUUGUUCCUGGCUAAGGUGGGCUUGAUGUUAUGGGCGAAAAAUGUUGAGAUGCUUCUUCUUUUUCCGGUGGGACCGUAGAAAUUAGGGUAAACUUCAAAUACCACUCUUAUGGUUUCGCACUUUCUCACUUUAGUAUUUUGUGGUUUAAAGUGUAUUUCAAGUUAGUGCCUUGUGAUUUUAUUUUUAUCUUUUCGUCAGUAUUUUCGUUAAUAUUUUGUUAAAUUAUAUACAAAAAAUAUCAGAUAUUCGACCUAGGUUUAUCGAAUAUUCACUUUAGUACUUUAUAGUUUUAAUUUUGUCACUGAUUUACCAAAAAAAUUAGUGGAAUCGAUAAUAAAAAAAUAAAAAUAAAAUCACAUGGCACUAAAUUGAUACACUUUAAGCUAUAGAGUACUAAAGUGAGAAAGUGUGAAACUAUAUGGCGGUAUUUGAAGUUUUUUUUUUUUCUAUGUGGAGUUUUUAGGUUCCCACAUAGUUCUUUACAUAUGCCAACAUAUUAGCGUGUUACGGUGUGGGAUUAUUACGCUUUUAGAAGCGUAUAAUUUCAACUUUUGAGCCUUUAGAUUCCCAUAUUGGGUAUGAACACUGCUAACCAUUCAUAGUUAUUUAAAUAAAAUAUAACUAAAUCCAAAGUUUAAAAAAUGAUAUACGAGUAAAUCCAAAAUUUAGACAAAUCAAAGUGCCAAAAAUAGUAUUAAAUCCAAUUUUUUCAAAAAGUAUUUGUUCGGUUUACUGCUGACGUGGUGAAACACUUUUCACAUUUUUCUAAAUUAAGUAAUAGACCCUGCUAACCAUUUCUAGUUAUUUAAAUAAAAUAUAUAAAAUCCAAAUUUUAAAAAUAAAGUUCAAAUUUUAGAUAAAUAGGUUGCCAAAAAAUGGUAUUAAAUCCAAAAUUUUAAAAAUUAUUUUUUCGGUUUACUACUGAUGUGGUGGCUAAUGGUCCACACAACAAUUCUCAAAAUUAAAUAGCGUGCAACGACUUUUUUAAAUAAACCCUUAAAAAAUUUAUAAUUUAUCAAAUAGUCCUACUAUAAAUUUAUUUGGCUAAGGAAUCUUAUUUUGUUCAAUAUAAGCUCAAAAGAAUUGUUAGAAAACAAUGAAUGUUCACUGUUCUUAAUUAAAAUUGAAAAACUAAAGAAUUUGUUCUUUCUUUAAUUAGAAUGAUUCACUGUUUCUUUCUAUUUCUUCCUUUUAUAUCCAAACGUUAUUUUUCAUAUACGAGAAUAGUAGUUUUUGGGUAUCUGGAAUAAGUUGAUAUAAUCUAGUGUAAGCCUGAAAUUGAUGUUCUACCCUUAUCCCCAGAAUAAUCGAGAACAAAAUUAAUUAAACUCUAAUUAAUAAUUUUAAAUCAUUAAUUAACCUAAUUAAUAUAUUUAAAUUAUUAAUUAAUUUAAUUAAUAUUAAAUUAUUAUCUCUGGACUCUCGAUAAUCCUGCUAAGGGUGAGAACAGCUGUUCCCACUCCUAUUUUUAUUUUUAAAAUUUAAAAUUUAAAAAUUAAAAUUUUAAAAUUUUAAAUUUAUAAUAGUAAUCUCAAAAUUAAAGUUUAUAAUUUUAAGUUCUAAAUUUUAAAUUUGAUAUAUUAAAAUUUUCAAAUUUAAAAUUUGAUAUUUCAUAUUUUUCAAAUUUAAAUUUAAUCUUAAAUUUAAAGUUUGAAAUUUAAAAUUUAAAAUUUUGGAAACUUAAAAUUUGAGAUUUUCAAUUUUAAAUUUUAAUUACGAAUUUUGAGAUUUAAAAGCUAAAAUUUUAAAUUCAAAAGUAUAAAUAUAAAAAUUUAAAAUUUAAACUCAAAUAUAAUGAGAGUCUAAUAUCAUUAUCUUCUAUAUAUUACUACCUACUAUUCUCCACUAUUUUCUACUGUUCUUCACUAUUCUUCUUAUUCCAUCUUAUUUAUCCAAACAUUAUUUUGUUUAUUCCUAUAAAUAAUUCAAUUUUCAUCUAAACGCAAAAUCUAUUUACUUCUUCUUAUAUAUAUAUUUAUACUUAUUUCUGAAAUAGACAGUUCUUAAUUAUACUCGAAUCAAACGAUAGCUUAAAGGAAAAGAUUCUCACCAUCCAUACAACAAAAAUCUAUAAACAACAAUAGCAAUUUGAAAUUGAGAAAUAAUAUACCGCUUUCUAAAAAUAGUGAAUAAUUUACCGCAUUCUUACUUUUAUUCAACGUUACACUCAGCUGGCAAAAAGAAAGUUAGUUGAACAAAUAAAUUUUUGGAAGGUUUAUUUGGCUAAUUAGAAGUUUUUUAAGGAUUUUUUUUUUAAAAAAAAACCCAAUGUACACUACCAAUCAUUUCUAGUUAUUUAAAUAAAAAUAUGAAAGGCUUUUUGCAUAAAAAUUCUAUUAUUUUUGUGUUUCGGCAAAACGGACCAUAUAUUUACAUUUUUUUGUAUAUUAAGGCUAGAUUCUAAAAAAAAGGGGACAAAUUAUAAAUUUUUUUUAGAGGAUUAGCUAGCGAAUUACAAAAUUUUAUAGGAUUAUUGGAUAAAAAAGAGCUUUUUUUUAAUUUAGCCCCUCUUGAAAAAUAUUUCACAAAUAGUAAUUAUAAAAUUGACCCUAUUCCUGCCACGCAAGCGUCAAAUAAGUGCUACGUUAGCGGCUUUGGAGGGUUAAGUUGCACACGAUAAAUGAAUCACCAUGUUGACGGCUAAAUAGUAUCUAAGUUCUGUAGUGCAGAAAAACUCAAAUAGUUCCGCAGUGCAGUUUAGCAUAAAUACGGUGAAUUAUUCAUCUUGUCUAAACACGAUGAAUGAUUUAUUGUGUUCAACUUAUACCACUACUUUAGUCAGUUGCUGACGUGGUGCUUACGUCGCGGGGAUAGGACUAGUUUUAUAAUUAUAAAUUUUGUGAGGUUAUUUAUGAAACAAAAAUUAGUGAGGGGCUAAAUGCAAAAGAAGCCUUCCUUUCUCGACUCUGCCCAUUUUUAUUAAAGUUACUAUUAUUUGUUAUUUAUAUACCCACUCUCUUCGUCGUCUCUCGAUCUCGAGCUCUUCUCUUUCCUUUUAAAACCCUAACACUCUCCAUCCCCGCACCAUUUCUCCUCCCCCCAUUUCUCCUCCCCGAUCCAAAUCCUAGCUCCAAAUCCAUCUCCUUCCUCCUCCUCCCCCAACUCCUCCUCCUCCCCUCCCCGGUCCUCUCAUUCCGAUCUCCCUGCGAUCUACGUAAUCCGAGGAUCCGAUUCAGCUAUCAAACCCAUCUGUUUAUCUCGAUCCCCUUCUCCAAUGGCGAGCUCCAAGCCCCAGCGGUCACCUGCCGAGGUCGAGGACAUCAUCCUCCGCAAGAUCCUCCUCGUCGCCCUCGUCGACCCCUCCGCCUCCGGCGGCGGCGGCGGCGGCGACCCCCGCGUCGUCUACCUGGAGCAAACCGCCGCGGAGAUCCUCAGCGAGGGCAAGCCCCUCCUCCUCUCCCGCGACUGCACCGAGCGCGUCCUCCUCGACCGCCUCUCCUACGGCGGCGGCGAUGGCCCCGCCGCCGUGGAGCGCCGGCCCUUCUUCUACCUCAUCGGCUGCUUCCGCCGCGCGCAGGACGAGGCCAAGAAGGUCGCCGCCAUGAAGGACCCGGCCGUGCGCGCCGAGAUCGAGGCCGCCAUCAAGCACGCCCGCAAGCUCGUCGUCUCCUACUGCCGGAUCCACGUCGGCCACCCCGACAUGUUCCCGUCCUCGCCCGCCGCCGCCUCGCCGGCAUCCGAUCUCCUUUCUCUGAUCUUCUCCGAGGUCUCCGGCCCGACGGACGUGUUCGCCGGGAACAGCUUGGCCGGGGACCUCAAAAGCCCUCCCGGCUUCUUAGACGAGUUCUUCAGAGAAGCGGAUUCGGAGAGCUUGGAGCCGAUCAUGGGGGAGUUGUUUGAUAAGCUGAAGCAGAGUGUGGAGAAGGUUUCUGCUUUAGGGAACUUCCAGCAGCCGCUGCGAGCGCUGCUUUUGCUCGUGGGAUACCCGAAUUGUGCCAAGGCUUUGGUGAAUCACCCACAUUGGAUUCCAACGGAUAAGUAUAUAUUGAUCGGGGAAGGGCGGAUGAUUGAAAUCGGAAGCAUUCUCGGAGCUUUUCUUCACGUUAGCGCUCUGCCCGACUACAAGGAGUUCAAGAGUAAGCCAGAUGUUGGGUAAGUUUUACAUUACAGUGUAUAGUUUGUUCUCUAAUUCAUUUUUUAUUUCUAACUUUUAUUAUCUUGCAAUAUUAUCUUUCAAUGUUAUAUUUUUCUGAACUUGGAGGAUGUUGGAACAAAUCCAGUGCUAACUUGUACUUUAUGGCAUUUUUCUGUUGCCAUUGCAACCUAUGAUUUUUGGUUUUCGUCUAUUGACAGUUUCUCGGAAUCAAGAAUAUUUUAGGAUAACGUAUUCCAACUGCAGAGUGAUUUACAAAAUUCACAGAGAGAGAAUUUAGAGGCUGUAUAUAUUAAAGAGCAUUCCAUACAUCUUUUCAUACUCUCCGCCAUUCAAUUUUUGCAUCUACCUAGAGUGAACAAAAGAGAUAUUCUGAACAAGGCAUUCAUGCAUCAAAAUGUGCCCUAAAUUUUUCCAGUUUCUUUCUUAUUAGUAACUAUGAUUUGAAAUUGCCUUAUGGCUACAAGGUCAUCACCUCUAUUAACGUACUCGUUGACCUAAAAGACGGCACUAAAUUUUCCUAAACUUUCUUUCUUGUUGGUAACUAUAAUUUAAAACUGCCUUAUAUCUGUAAGGCCACUACUGCUAUUGAUGCACUCUUAGACCUAAAAGACUCUGUUAAUGCUAAGCACUGCCUACGUGGCAACAAAUUGUCAUAAUCAAUGCCAUAUAUGAAUGGAUGAGUCAGUAGCAGUUAGAGAAUGAGAAAAAUGCAUAUACAGGAUUUGUUGGUUUGUUGAGAUUCAGCCGGCGUUGGAGUCUGGUCAAGUGUUUCCUUUACAAAUGGCUAGGUUGAAUGAGCUAAAAUCUAGGAGCUAAAGUGUUUCCUUUACUUUGCUUAUUACCUACAAAAAAAGGAUAGAUACUUGAUUGAGCAGGAUAAAUAUUCAAUGUGAGAUUUGAAUUGCACCAACUAAUACUUUUUUUUUUACUUGUUAUCUAUGCACAAACAGUCAGUUGUACAAAUAGUCAGUCAAAAAUUAACAUAUUUUAAAAAUGGCACCCUGGAAAACGAAGGGUCUGAAAUUCUUCAUGCAGUUAACUAUUGGCACUUUUUCUUCAUAUUCUCUUUCUUAUCCUGUUCACCUUCUGCAAUUGCUUAUAUCAAAUGUUAUCAUCUCUUUGAUGCCAAUUAAUAGGAUUUGUUGAAGUCUUAAUUAGUUGUGUGCGCUUUGUCCAUAAGGCACAACAAUUGGCUAACAGAGACCCUUCUGAGACUACAGAGAAAAUUUGUUACUUAAGCCUAUUUUUACUGUAUCAAUAGUGCCAACUCCCAAUCCUUUCUCAAUAUCCUAUUUUUAGUCUUAUGUGGUUUUUGGAUCUUUUUUCUUGCAUCUAUUUAAAAAAUUGUUUCUUUUUUCCUAAAUUAAUUUAACAGCCAACAGUGCUUCGCAAACGCAUCAACUCGCCGACCUGCUGAUCUCUUAUCAUCGUACACCACAAUCAAGACAGUCAUGAAUAUACUGUAUGAUGGUCUGGCAGAAGUUUUCCUUACAUUAUUAAAAAAUACAGAUACACGAGAAAAAGUUCUAGAGUUUAUAGCAGAGGUGAUUAAGAAAAAUGCAGCAAGGUCUCGUAUGCAGGUAAUCGUUUAACCUUUUGUUUUUUUUUUUUUCCUUUUGCUUGACUAUAAGCCUUUCUCAAAAACAUAAUCACGCCACAGGUGGAUCCAUUGUUAUGUGCAAGUUCUGGGAUGUUUGUGAAUCUUAGUGCAGUAAUGCUUCGGCUUUGUGAACCUUUUUUAGAUGCAACAGCAUCAAAGAGGGAGAAGAUUGACCCACAAUAUAUAUUUUACAACAAGCGUUUAGAUUUUAGGCAAGUCUUUUUUAGCUAUCUUGUCUCUUUUGUAUUACUGAAUAUAGUGAAAUAAUUGUUUUUCUCUCUAUUUCUAUGGAGCAGCCAAUUGGUCCCUGAACUAUAUUUCUUGUUGAUUAAGUCUUGAAAGUCUUAAUAACUUGUCUGUUUGGGCCAAACAGUUUUAAACUUCAUCUUUGUUCCGUAAGCUAAAUUAGUUAAUAAUACAAAUGUAAAUUAUCUAUUACUUUAUUAUCUUCAUUUGCUUUUACUCAUCACAUUGGAAAAUGGAAUAAACUUGUACAGUAAUACAUCAAUGGACCUAUUUAUCAAAAUAUGAUGAAAUAAGUAAAUAAGUGUGUUAUGGACUUAAUUGGUAACCUGGAUAGUUUAGGGACUAUUGGUAUCUCUAUGAGAGUCAAGGACUAACAAAAUAAUUUAACUCAUUGUUGAUUUACAUGUUUCUUCUCAGUGAGCUAAUUAAAUUUUUUACAUUAGACAAUUGACAGCGAUGAAUGCUUCGUCCGAAGAAGUUGCAGCAUGGAUCGAGAACCAAAGUCAUAAUUGUCGUCUCAUAGAAUCACAGGAAGCUACAAGUUCUGGCAAUAAUAGUGGAGCUUCUUUACUUACAAAAGGCAGACUACUUAUGAGUUGCACCAAAAAAGAAAAAUAUUCAUUUAUCUGCGAGUCUUUUUUUAUGACAACAAGAGUACUCAACUUGGGGCUUAUGAAAGCCUUAUCGGACUUCAAACAUCUUGUUCAGGUGUGAAUGCAGUCACCUUGUUUUUCUUCAGUUUGCUUAUAUAGCUGUAUUAAAUCCUCUUAUAUUGAUGAUGUAUAUGUUUUAUGACUUUGAUCUCCAAUAAGUUUUCAUGCUUUUUAUUACUUAAGAAGCACUCACUAUAAUGGUUGGGAUUUCAAGUCCUGAAGAAGCACUUACUAUUGUUAUUUACUAAUUCGGUGAUGGUAUCUAUUAGCAAAUAUUAUCCUGGCAAACCAAUAUUGGUGUUAUCGUGUCCUGGAGUUGGAUUAUAUAUAUUAUUUACUAAUUAGACUGUUACCUUUUGAUCUACUUCAUAAAUAGUAGCUGUUGUGUAAUUAAAUUGUAGGAGCUGGCAAGGUAUGAAGAAGAACUAUCUACAUGUAAAGCCAUGAGGGAUCAGGGAGCCUCGCCGCAACUUGAGGAAGAUAUAAAACGACUUGAGAAAGUGAUUGAGAUUCUAUCACAAGAUAAACUCUGCUAUGAAGCUCAGAUAUUAAGAGUAUGCUCUUCCCACUGUUCAAGAGUUUUUCACUUUCAUAGUGGCAUUUCGGUGAUAUUGAGUAUGCUUUACCUACUGAUUGAGAGUUAUUAAUGGUGGCACUCCAUUGCUUUACGUAUCACACUCAAAUCCCAUCUUCCAUUUAUAUCUUUCUAGGUAGAGGUACUUCUUUGUUUUUCUUUGUUUUUGACAUUUAGUGACCUGUUUCUUCAAUAUUCAUUAUAUAAUUAUUGACAGCUUGUCAUGUAAUUACUGCUUUGUCAUGCUUGUAUAUUCUGUUUAUCAUGAAUCACCUACCUGAAUGGUACAAGGCUUUUGUGGUUCCAAGAAAGAAGUACCAAGCUAUAUAAUAACUAGAAUUUUACCGGCAAAGAUGAAGACAUUAAAUAUAUUAAAUUAUUUGUUAGCAUGUGUCUCUGAAGUGAAGGACAUGAAGAACAAGUUAGCUAAUAUUGUUUUUUGUAUAUAUAAUUUUCAAGCCCAUUGAGACUUGCUCCAUAACAAUUCGAUGAAUCUAUUUAUACGUAAAAUUUUUAUUCAUUUUACAGGGUAAUUAGUCCCAUGACUCCCAUCUCAUUACGAUGUAGUUAUUGAAACAUAACUAUCUGAAUAAUGCUAAUGCUGCAUUAUACGAACAUAGAAUGCCUCCUUGUGGGUUUUUAUAUGCUGUGGUGAAGCAGUCUGUUCAGAAAUAAAUUUAAUAUAAGGAUAAUAUAUUAAACCUAAGGUCUUAAGAUAUAUACUUUGGAAUUUGGUGUCUACAGGAAUCCAUGGUGGCAAAUCCUAUCUUGUAUCUGCUCCUCUUUCUUGAUUGUGGAUUGAGAUAGUAAUGUCAAAGUACUGAAAUGUUCAGCCUAUUUAUUUAAUAUGGAUAUAUCUUUUGAUACCGGUUUAUCCAUAUUUAUUUGUAUGAGCAUUCAUGAAUGUGAUGCUACUCACAUAUAUGUCAUUUUUGAUCGAUAUAUCAUAUGAAUAGAUAGGGGUUCAGAAUAUAAACUACAAAGGCAAACAAAAACUCAUUCAAUUGUUAUGCAAGAUAAUCGAAGUGCAGAGAUACAAAUUUAAAGGAAAGAAUACCUCAACCUAUACGUACAAGAUUAUCAGACGAUGUAAGAGGUCUGGAUUUUAGUCUGGUAUGUAAAAUCCAAAGUCAAUAGCUGAUGACGCUUGGAUAUAGAACCCUGAUGGGCUCAAUAAUGUUGGACCUAUUAUGGUUUCUGUUUCUAUUACAUAUGAGAGUUAUUCCAAUUGAUUUUAGGUUAACUGCUCAACUAAUGCCUGCAAAUAAGUUAUUUAAUGGGUUUAGUCAAAAUUAUUCACUGAUUUUUUUUUUUUUUUUUCAUGAGAAUAUCAACCUUGUGCAUACUGUGCCUUCUGGGUUGUGUCUUGUUAAUCUGCAUUUUCCUUUUUCUUCAAUACUUUAAUUUUGUAUAUGAUCAGCACAUUUGGGUAAGGUAAUUCUUUAAGCUAUUGUAUAGAUAGUUAUGGUGAUCUUUGUAUAUACAUUUUCAUCAUUAGCGCACAUCACAUGCAUAUGUGUAUCCUUACAAGUAGCUGCCAAUUUAUUGGUUGAUAGCAUGCUGCAUCUAAUUAGUUUUUGUUAUCCGAAGGAUGGUGCGCUUCUUCAACGAGCGCUAUCCUUUUACAGAUUAGUAAUUAUAUGGAUGGUUGAUCUUGUUGGUGGAUUUAAAAUGCCUUUGCCACCAAAGUGCCCAAUGGAAUUUGCUUGCAUUCCGGAACAUUUUAUUGAUGAUGCAAUGGAUUUACUUAUUAUAACUUCUCGGAUUCCACGAGCUUUAGAAGGAUUUGUGCUGGUGCGUUUUCUUUUUUGACUUUUUCUAUUUGAUUUAUUCUUUGUUGCCUAUUAACUGUAGUGCAUAGAUACCUUGGGCAGGGGCAACCAAUGCAAAUAAUGAGUUUUUUUGUUGUGCAUGCAGUUGCUAGCUUUGCAGGGUAUUUGCACAAUUUUGAAUACUUGCAAGGGUUAUAUGGGGCAAAAAGAAUACUUGAAGCAAACUAAACAAAUACCCUGCUGAUCCGUGAUAUUUUAUUAUUCUUAUGGUUUUUUUUGUACUAAUCUUUUUACCAGGAUGACUUUUUGAAUUUUAUUAUCAUGUUCAUGGCAAGCCCAUCUUAUGUCAAAAACCCUUAUUUAAGAGCCAAGAUGGUUGAAGUAUUGAAUUGCUGGAUUCCGCAUAGAAGGUUGAUCGGUUAACCGAAUGUUAAUAUGUACAAUUUGUUUAGUUUAUAUUGUUGAGCUUAAGACAACUCUAUUGUCUAACUAUUGCAGCGGCUUAUCCACCACAGCCUCUCUCUUUGAAGGGCACCAAUUAUCUCUUGAGUAUCUUGUUAGAAAUCUUUUAAAGCUUUAUGUGGAUAUUGAAUUUACUGGUUCUCAUACACAGGUGGGUGCUAUGUUUAACAUCAGGUUGUUUAUUUACAUUAUUUCCGAGUUUUUAACAGCAAAGUUAUCUAUCCACAUGUAGACAUAUCGCUGCAAAAUCUUAAUUAUCACAUUGGCCUUUAAUAGGUUUAAUUAAUAAGCUUAAUAUAUAUAAUGUCUUCAUACCAAAGUAGCCCUCUUUAAAAACUUUUUCUAACAAUAAACCAACUUCAGCCAUGAACUGCGUUGUGAAUGUGUAUGUUCACCCGUGUAUGUGCUUGCGUGUGUGUCUGCAUGCACGCAUUUUGUGCCCACUUUGGGAAUUGGGGUGAUUUGUGAAAAGAGGUUUGGAUUUCGUUGGUCUACUAAUAAGCACCUUUCUUUGUACAGUUUUUUGACAAGUUCACUAUUCGGCACAACAUUGCUGAGCUUCUAGAAUACUUGUGGGAUGUUCCUAGUCACAAUAAUGCAUGGAGACAGGUGAGUGAGUCUUCUUUGUAGCACCCCUAGCAUCUUUGACACAUGCAAAAUUCCCGAAAUUCUCACUGUUUACUUAGCAUGAUACAAGUGCUAUUUCCUUUUAAUUUGCAGAUAGCUAGAGAAGAGGAAAAGGGAGUAUACUUGAAUUUUCUAAACUUUCUUAUCAAUGAUAGCAUCUAUCUUCUUGAUGAGAGUUUAAAUAAAAUUCUUGAGCUCAAAGAAAUAGAGGCAGAAAUGGCUAACACAACUGAAUGGGAACGCCGGCCUCCUCAAGAGAGGGAGGAGAGAAUGCGCCAAUUUCAUUCACGAGAAAAUGUAUGUUCAUUAUCAACUUCCAAGUUCGUAAAGUAGUUUUUUCUUCCAUAAAGAUAUCAAUUGCUCUAUAGGCUUGCGAUGAUACUCUAAGUGAAAAAUGGGAUCAAUUAACACUUCUGCAAAUUUUUGUUUCCAGAUUGUUCGAUUUGACAUGAAAUUGGCAAAUGAAGACGUAGGGAUGCUUGCUUUUACUUCAGAACAGAUUCCUACCCCUUUCCUUCUGCCAGAAAUGGUGAUGCAAUCCUUCUGCGUUUUUUAUCUUCAUUAGGUGCAGCAAAAUUUAACCGAACUUUUAAAACCUGCUAAGUUACUGAAUCCAGGGACGAAGUCCUAAACCAUUCCUGGACAGUUUUUUUUUCCACAUUAAAAUCCAGGUCGGAUCAGGGCUUUUACAAUUCUGAUGAUCUGGGUCAUUGUUUCCUGAUUUCUGAGGGAGUUUAAGUUGCUAAAUAAAUUUAGUUAUUAUUAUUAUUUCAGUUCACCCCACGCUAUUAGUAUCAAUAUUGACACAUCAUGAUAAUAGGUGUGACUUUAUAAUAAUAAUAUACAUUAUAAUAGUGUUGAGCUAGAAUACUUUUGGAAGCAUCACAAAGAAGAUUCUUCCGCGUUUUCGCCUGUCGGAUGCGCUUCGUGAACCUUGCAGGUUCCGAUGCUUGUCCAUCUUAGUGUGCAUCAUAUGCCCACCAUGCUGAUGCGGGUUUGCGCAGAGAUUUAAGGGCAUCUAAUGUGUGCUUCCAAAAGUAUUCUAACUCCAUUGUAAUAUGCACUGGCCAGUAAAAUCUUUGUUGAGGGUGAUGAACAUCUGAAACUUGGAGAGUUAUACCAUUCCUUAGUGUUUGUUAGGGAGGCCUGGCGAAAACUUUAAAAAUGCUUAUUGCCGCUUCCAAAGGUAUUCUAACUCAACUCCACUGUAAUAUGCAGUGGCUAGUAAAAUAUUUUUUAAGGAUGAUGAGCAUCUGAAACUUGGAGAGUUAUACCAUUCCUUUGUCCAUGUUAGUGAGGCCUGGCAAAAACGUUAAAAAUGCUUAUUGCGGCUUACAUUUUGGUUUGAUACAUCUAUUUUUAUACGCUUCUAGUACUGCAUCGUCCUAAUUCCUAUCACUAAUGUUUACUUUCAUUGUUGUAGGUCGAAAGAGUAGCAAGCAUGCUAAAUUACUUCCUGUUACAACUUGCUGGGCCCCAGAGGAAAUCUCUGAGUGUAAAAGAUCCCGAGAAAUAUGAGUUCAGGCCGAAGCAAUUACUGAAACAAGUUAGUUUCUGUCAAAUCUCAAAAUGCUUUUGAGCUUUUAUUCAUCAUCUUAUUCCAUUUAUAAAUUAGAGGUGGAUAUAUAUAUAUAUAUAUAUAUAUAUAUUGUAUUCUAAUGAAGAUUAAUCUUGUACUCAUGUGAAGAUUGUCAAGAUUUAUGUUCAUAUAUCAAGAGGCGACAAAGAGAACAUCUUUCCUGCGGCAAUCUCAAAGGACGGCAGGUCAUAUAAUGAGCAGGUGUAUCCUACAUGCUAAACAAUUCUUUUAUCGGCUAAAUGUAUGGACAUCUCCUAACUGUCUUUCAUUUGGAAACAACUCCCUAGUCCUUUUCCUUUAGGGAUUUGGAUCCGUAACUGAAGUAAAUUGUUUGAUUUUAGAAGACUCUGUCAGAAUAUAAUUGUUUCUGUGAUUCUGUUGAUAAAAUGUUCUUUGAAUUGAUGGAAUACUCGCUGACUUCUUUGAUAGAAACAAUUAAGUCUGAUGAAACUUGACUGAAAUCAACCAACAUGUUGGUAGGCGGAUCAAAUGCAAAAUAUGAGAUUUCAGGAAUCUGUAUACAGAAUGAUAUAUAGUUAGGAGGAGAUUGUCCAUAAUUUUUUUUUAUCUUAUGUGUAAUAUUCUGCUGGCUGACGUGGCCUUUAAAAUACUGCAGCUGUUCUCUACAGCAGCUGAUAUUUUGUGGAAAAUUGGAGAGGAUGGAAAAAUUAUCCAGGAGUUUGUGCAGCUUGCAGCUAAAGCGAAAGCUGCAGCUUCUGAAGCAAUGGAUGCUGAAGCUAUUCUCGGCGACAUACCAGAUGAAUUCCUUGACCCAAUUCAGGUACUUCGAUUCUUCUAUAGGAUAGCACUUUUAUGCACAAACAAGUGUACCGAUCUGUUCCAUUAAUAUAAAAAGGUAGUCCAUGUUUUUUAUUUUCUGCUCAUUUUUUUUUAUCCAAUCAUUUUUCAUGUGAUUUUAUUUGAUAAUUAGUUAAUUCGACUAUAGCUCAGUAGUUUGUUGUUCUUCAAUUUAAUGUGGCAUACCUGCACAAUCCUAUGCUGCAGUACACGUUAAUGAAGGAUCCUGUUAUACUACCAUCGUCGAGGGUAUCAGUUGACCGAGCAGUUAUCCAAAGGCACCUCCUUAGUGACAGUGUAAGUCCUUUAUGUUUUUCUAUAUCCAGUACUCUCAACAGGUCGAGUGUUAAUAACUCAAGCAAGUAUCUACAAAUUAUACAUACGCUUACUGCAUUUUACCCCGUCAAUGUGAAUAUUUUCACAUGUAGCUUCAGAAUCUUAUUUCCUACAUGUUAUAUCCCUAUUCGUACAAAAUAGUGACCUUUUUUUUUUUUCUCCCAAAUGAAGAACCAACUUUCCCUCGUGAUUUUGAUGAUUCUUCGAGUUAAAGAGCAUUUUUAUAAUAAACUUCGUUCACGAGGAUCAUAAAUUAAAGGGAAAACUUCAAAUACCCCCCUUGUGGUUUCACUUUUUUUCACUUUAGUACCUUGUGGUUUAAAAUGUAUCAAGUUAGUACGCUGUGGUUUCUCACUUUAUCACUUUAGUACCCUGUGGUUUAAAGUGUAUCAAGUUAGUACCCUGUGGUUUUGCAUUUUAUCACUUUAGUAUCUUGUGGUUUCGCACUUUAUCACUUAGUAUCCUGUGGUUUAAAAAACCACAGGGACUAACUUGAUACAAAAAUAAAACCACAGGGUACCAACUUGAUACAAAAAUAAAACCAUAGUAUUCUAACUUGAUACACUUUAAACCAUAGGGUACUAAAUUGAUAAAGUGAGAAACCACAGGGUACUAACUUGAUACACUUUAAACCAUAGGGUACUAAAAUAAAAAAGUGUGAAACCACAGNNNNNGGGAGGGGGGGGGGGGGUUUGAAGUUUUCCCUAAAUUUAAAUUCAUUUUUUGGAUGAUUAUAAAUUAUGAGAUUGAAAUGCACCGUCUCAUUGCAGACCGAUCCAUUCAACCGUUCACACCUCACACAGGAUAUGCUAAUCCCCGACACAGAGCUUAAAUUAAGGAUCGAAGAGUUCAUCCGAGCCCAAGAAUCGAGGAAGCGCAGCAAAACAAGCGGCUUACAAUUCUCCAAACCUAACGAGCCAGAUGAUGGUGUUGCUGAUAUGGUCGAGUAAGUUAAAAAGUGCUAGCACUUAUAUUUAUAUGUUAAGUUUAAAUGUAAAAAUAUUUCUUGGGGAUUAAAUCAUGAAUGCCUGGGCUAGAAAUGGAUAGGGGCAACUUGGGGGGUAUCAAUUCUCACAUUUUACAUUUUAAUACCUCUUUAAUCCAAUAAUCCUUCUCCAUUGUUGUGGUGUUGAAGCAACAAAAAAAAAAAAAUUGAUGUUGUAAGGUGAAAAAUUGAUGUUGUAAGGUGAAAAAAAAAUGAUCAUACUUUUGUUAAUUAUUCUGUACUUUACUGUUAUAUAUACAUACAUUUGUAUAAAAUUGUUGGAGCUUUUAGUUAUUUGUAUCUGUAUAUAGAUAUUUCUCUUAUUUCUCUCUUUAGCUUUGCUAAUCUCUCAAUUGUGAAAUUGGAGUUGUGUUCUAGGAAUUUUGUUUUUUUCUCACUUUGGUUUAAAUUUUAGUAAAGUGAAAGGUGCAUUGUUCUUGAGAAAUUGAUUGUGUUUAUUAGACAAUGAGUUGCCCUGUUGAACAUAUUUUCUAUUUUUCUCUAGCAAGAAAUUACAUAACAAGGAAACUGCAAUCUUAUGAGCCUUGCAUUGUGGUUUAUAUCUUCUCCAAUAAAUGGAUUAUAUGAAAUAGUUAUAAGACUAAUUAUUAUCAAAUAAACUCAUUUACAAUGCCUCUUGUGUGCUAGUAUUCUACUGUAGAAAGUUGGGAUGAAUCUUUUCUACUAAAUCUAUAGAUAUCUAUGAGGGAUCAUUGGCUAGAUUACCUUUUCAUGUAUGGGGCUAUAAUUGUAGGAUUUGAAACAUUUUGAAGAAUGUCUAUGUGAAAAGUCUAGUUUGGUAAUGCAGUGGCUAAAAAUAUUAUUUUAUAUACUUCAAAAUUUUGUAAAGUUAUAAAAUUGUAGAAUGCUUUUAAUUUUUAUUUUCCAUGUUAUAAAAGUAUGGUUGCAAUUGCUGAUUAUAUGCUUCUUUGGUGGUAGUUAAAAUUCUUUUGGGCCCUUUGAAGGUAUGAUAAACAUAUUGUUAUUAGUCGUAUCAAACUAGUCCUUAAACCAUACACAUUGAAUAUACCAUAUUGCGUUAAUAAAUGAUUUAGUUUCACUAUAACUUUAACUCACGGUAAUCCUGCAGAGUGCUUGGGGAUGUCAACGGGUCAGGUUCAAGGUGGGUUUUCAAAAAUCUGAAUUUGAAUUCCGCUACCAAAAUUAAAAUCUGAAUCUGAAUCCGUCUGGUUUUAAAAAUUUAUAUCUAAAUUCAAAUCCAAGAAAACAACUGAAGCUCAAAAUUGGAUCCAAAAUUCCAAAUCUGGAAGCAAUCUUCUUUUUUUUUUUAAACCAAAAUUUGAGAUAUAUUAUAUUCAAAUUAAAUUUCAAAGUAUAAAUUCAAAUAUUUAUAUAUUAUAAAUAUAAAAUCGGUUCGGGUUCGGGUUUGGGUUUCGAUCUUGUACCAGUAAAAAUUAUACAUGAAUCCAAAUUUAUCCAGUUUUUUUUAAAAAUUUGUUUAUACUUAUGAACAAAAUCAUACUCCUUUAACAACGAUUAAUCCACCCGGUUCAGAGUGGAAUUUGAAUAAAAUCGCAGAUACCAUACUCAUGAACUGCAUCCUCAAAUUAGAAUUAGUUAGAUACUAACUAAAUUCGGGUUGACUUCGACACCAUCCAAGUUAAAAACAGCAAUAUCUAAAUUGGAAGUGCCUUCUCUUAUUCUUAUUCUUUUUUUUUUUUUCUUUUUUGGUUGGUGCUCCUACUGUUCAUAUUUUUCUCAUCUUAACUAAAGCUAUAUAUAUAUAUNAAAUUUUGAAAAAAUCGAGUAGUUGAUUCAAAAUGGUCGACAGUCCAAUUGAGUUAUGUAAGUUUUACUAAAAUAUUACCAAAGAAGGAUGUGACUUUUUAAAUUCUACAUAUUCUUUAAGUUUGUUUUUUAAGGAUGAAUUCUAUCUUAUAUGUUCUCAAAAAUUUUAUCAAAUUCUCAUAAAUUAAUUAAAAUCUUAUUAACUAGCUAUUCCAAAAAAAUGAAUUAAGAAAUUCAAUUAUUUAAAAGUUGUAAAAGUUGAGGUGGCAAAAUUGAACAUUUAAAAAGAUAAUAAUAUAUAUGGUCUUUAGCUUUUGGCUUGGACGUAGUGGACCAGGUCCAGGAGAAAUUCCUACAAUGGUGUCCACUGGCGUGUCGGGGUGGGGAAGAGGGAACGAACACCUGGUGUGCCACAGCCCACACCUGCCACGUGGCAAAGAUUCUGAUAACUACUGCAGUAUAAUUUAUUCUACUACUAGUUCACAUCAAUAUUUCAAUUUAAAUAAUUAUUAGCGAAUUUAAAAAAAAAAAAUUAGAGAUUCAAUUUUUCUCCGGAAAUGAGAAUCAAAAUAUCAAACUCUCAAAUCUAACACAACAAUAUAUAUAUAUAUAUAUAUAUAUAUAUAUAUAUAUAUAUAUAUAUAUAUAUAUAUAUAUAUAUUCUCUGGUAAGACUUAUCCCUAUCGUUUUGUUGAAAUUGUGUAACUUCCUUACCUAGGCUAAAAAAUCGUGACAUGAUUAUAAAAAAAUUAGACCGCAGAAAUUUAUACCCAAAUGAGUUACCUAAUACUAUAUGCAAAUAAUUUUUUUUUGUUUUGAAUUUUAGAGACAAAAAAAUAAAAUAAAACAAAAUGCGACAUAAAUGUUGAUACAAUUUUUAAUACGACAGCGCAAAAUGACCAAAUGCAAUGCCAAAAUUUUUUGCAAUUAAUAAUCCUUUUUUAAUUUCAGCCGGAAAUUUGUUUUAUUUUAUUUUAGUUUUAACUUUAAUUUUGAAAUAAAUAAAUAUUAUUAUUAUUAUUAUUAUUUUUUAAUUCCGCUUUCCCCUCCCUCCCCCAAUCCCCCAAAAGGAAAUGGAAAAAGCAAAAGCAAAAGCAAAAGCAAAAGCAAAAAGGGGAUGAAAUGGAGUACGAUAACAACAACAGCUUCUCCGAGAAGCAGAAGCCGCAGCAGCAGCAGCAGCAGCAGCAGCGCCACCACCAUCUCCAUCUCCAACCCCUCUCCCUCUCCGCGUGCUUCCGCUCCUGCUCCUCCUCCUUCUCCUCCUCCUCCUCCGCCGCCGGCGACGACGAUCGCCCCCCUCUGAUCCGGUCCCCGUCCACCUGGCUCCGCUCCAAGCCCCACCACCACCACCACCUCCUCCUCGCCUCCUCCUCCGCCGCCGCCGCCGCCGGAGGCAGACACCGCCGCCGCCGCUCCGCCGACUUCAGGUACGACCCCGUGAGCUACGCCCUCAACUUCGACGACGACGACGGCGACCACGUCGCCGGCGCCGACGGCGCCGACCCGGGGUUCCGGUGCUUCUCGUCCCGGCUCCCCCCGUCGCCGCCGCCGCCGAAAUUGGGGGCGGCGGCGGCCCCGCGCAAUAAGGCCAAGGGGAAGGAGGCCCCCCUGUGACGUGGUGAGGUCGCCCGACCUAAUCGGUCGAGAAAGAUUGGAUUUUGAUUGCUCGGUUUGGGGUGAUUUGCUUUGAAUAAUUGGGGGAUUUUGUGGAAAUUUGUUGUUUUGUUUUCUUCGUGUUGGGGUUGCCAUUUGUUUGAAUUUUUCGAUAAUCAUGAGAGAAAUUCUCACAUGGAAAGAUUCAAGUGUCUUAUUCUGCUUCUUCUUCUUUCUCCAAUUUUAGGGUUUGGGAUUUGUUGUCUUGUGGUGAAAAGAUUGUUCUUUUCCCUCUUAUUCUUUCUAAUUGUAUGUAAAUAAAUCUUUAAAUAAUGAAUCAUGUUGAAUGAGAAAAGAUUGUUGUUUGAUUUCUGAGAAACCAAUGCAUGUUCUGGCAACGAAAAAAAAAAAAAAACAAAAAAAGAGAAAAGAUCUCAAUUUAUAGGCCAUUUCGAUCAGGAAAUUCCAAAUUGUUUUUUGUUGUUGUUGUUGUUUUUUUUUUAAAAGCACAGUUGUUUCUUCAACUUUUGUUUGCUUCUGAUUGUGACAUAGUUAAUGAUGAUGAAGAGGUUGUUGCUUGGUUUUUGUGAGAAACCAAUUCAUGUUCUAGCAAAAGAAAAAAAAAAGGAGAAAAGUUCAAUUUAUCGGAAAUUUGAAUCAGGGAAAUCCAAAUUGUACAAAUCCUUGUAGGGUUUCAGACUUUUCUUUUUCUUUUUCUACUUUUUGCCAAUUUGUUUCGUAAACUUUUGUUUGCUGUAAUUGUGUGUAAAUCUUGAAUUAAUAAACAUAUUAAAUGACGGUGAAGAGAUUUUUCCUUGGUUUUGUGAGAAACCAAUUCAUGUUCUGACAAAAAAUGGCUCAAUACAUACGCAAUUUGGAUCAGGAAAAUCCAAAUUGUACAAAUCCUUUUAGCGUUUCAGAUUAUUAUUAUUUUUUUUAAAAAGCUAUUUCUUUAACUUCUGUUUGCUUCUAAUGGUGAGUAAAUCUUAAAUUAAUAAAACUUAUUCAAUGAUGAUGAAGAGAUUGUUGUUUGGUGUUGUGAGAAACCAUUUCUCAUGUUCUGGUGCAAAUAAAAUGAAAAAAAAAAAAAAAACAAGAAGAAGCUCAAUUUAUUAGCAAUUUGUAUCAGGCAAAUCCAAAUUGUUCAAAUCUUUUUACUUUGCAUUUUGCUGUGUAUUGAUUAUCUAUAUUUCAUAAUAGAAGGAAUGCUGGGAGAGAGAAGGUCUCUCUGAGCUUCUGAGGAUUCCGUGUUGACAAAUUUGUUUAAUAUUUAUGUGCAAAAUUUUUAUUUAAAAUCUGUCCAAUGUACAAUUUUUAUUUAAAUAUCACACUUCUUCUUAAUAGUGUCUUAAUAUAAGGCACCAAAUGCACAUAAUAACAAUAAAAUCCAAUUUAUCAAGUGCGUCGAUGAACGAAUAGUUACUAAGUCACUAGUAUUAUGCUUACACUUCGGAUUCUGAAGAACUGAAAUUUUGUGGGAUAUCUCAUAAUACAAAUGAUUCCCAUCCAAUUUCUCAUGAUUUGAGAUCUGAGCAUUGAUAUUUGCUCAAAGUGCCUCUUCUUAAAAUAGUUAGACCAAGGAUAAAUUGGGAGAACAGAUACAUUGAAAUUACUUCUCAUUUGUCGCCAAACAAUAAAAUAGAAUAGGCUUCAUCAACUCAGUUGGACAACAACAUAUUCCAAACCGAAGUUUUCAUUUCUAAUCAAAUUCGACUAAAUUUCAAAAAAAAAUUUAUCUUGAUUUGGUUCCAAAUAGGGUGCCAAGCCAGGUAGCGUAAAUGUAAACUUGCUCCGAGUAAAUGUGAUAUUUGGAAAUGCCAAAGUUUUUUUUUUUUUUUUGAGAGAUAGCUAGCACGUUACCCGCUUCGUUUAUUUCAUUUAGAAAUAAACUUAGCUGGAAAUGUGAAUCAACUAGGAUUCGAACUUGGGUCUCGGGUACCAACCAUCAAGCCCUUUGCCACUUGCUCUAGGGACGGUCGGUGAAAUGCCAAAGUUUAAGACCAUAAUUUGGAGAGCAAUCCAUGUUGGUUCUUCUUUUUCUGAAAUGCACUGCUAACAGUUGAAGGGGCCAUUUUAUGGACUUGGUAACAUAAAAGGUGAUUGAUUCUCAGCGCAGCUCGUUGACGGGGUAAAAGAAGUAAUGUGCACAAUAUGACAGACCCAAAGCAGAUGCUCUGUAUGCAGCAGAGAGAGCGCGAAUGCGGGCUCGAUGCACCAGCACCUAGUGGAAGAAGAAUGGAAAAAGAAAAGAAAUGGAAAGAACAAGCUGCCGCCUCCGCCGCUGGCCGGGAAAGCAUGAAGGGCUCAUAGAAGAGGGCAUUGUUUUUCUUGUAGUACAAAUGUAUUUUCCUCUUUCUUUCUGGUUACUGACAAUUUUCUUGGUGUUCGAAAUUGCUUUUGGAAUGAAAUAAAUGUUCGACUUGGCUUUUGGAAUUGCUUCUCUUUACUCGAAACGCAGAAGCCAGUCGUUGGUGUAUAACAAGUUUAAAGGUUUUAAUCGUGGUGGGUAGGUGAAAUUUGCUUGUGGGCGCACAAUAUGGAAGCCCUAAUUAUAAACUUUUACUUUCUACUAGUUGUAGUGUAAGGUGUUUGUUUUUGGAGAUUUUAAAAGUGCUAUUAGUGUGCUUAUUUGAACAGCUUGCUCUUCAGGAUGAACUUACUUUGAUUCUCCUUGAAGCAGGAUGGAUGUAAUGGUUGAUAACACAAAAACAAAAGAGAUUGGAAAACAUUUUUUAUUUUUUAUUUUUUAUUUUUUAUUUUUAUUUUUUUGCGAGUGAAAUGGUUGUAAUGGUUUGCUGUUAGAGCGUGUUUGUUUGAUUGUCGAAAGUGGAGAGGGAUGAAGUGAUUUUUAGCCGUAGGAUGUCUACUUUUUGUGCCUGGUAGUGGCAGCAGUAAGAAACUUUUGCUUCUAACUAUGGCAGAAAGAUCAACCGUCCCUGGAGCAAGUGGCAAAAGAUUUGGUGGUUGGUACCCGGACCUAAGUUUGAAUUCAAGUUGAUUCACAUUUUCAGCUAAAUUUAUUUCUAAAUGAAGUAAACGAAGUGGGUAGUGUACUAUCUCUCUCUCAAAAAAAAAAAAAAACUACGGCAGAAAGCUUGUAAGUGAUUUUCAUGAGAAAGUUACGUUUAGGCCUACAAAUCUGGUUAUCUCUUUGCUCACCCCUCAUUUUGCUUUGCAAUGUGCUGUAUAUAUCCAGAGAAAUGUUUUUCACAAGGGGGGUGUGGUAGGGAUGUAAAACGGGCCGGGUCUAGACACGGCACGGUUACUGUAGAAUCCGUGCCAGGCCGGCCUGAUCCGGCAUCACGGCCGUGCUGGGCCACUUGAACUGAGCCACAUCGUUCGGCAAGGUACGGCCCGUUACGACUCUGGGCCGUGGCUGUCGGGCCAUCACGGCCCGUCCUUGGGAUUUGAGGAGCCAACCUGAAAAGUUCUAGGCCCUUCCUGGAACUCACAGAAGUUUCCGGGCAUUUAAAAAAAAACUAUAUAUUUUUCUAAAAGUUUAAAAAUUUUAAAUUCUUUUAAAAUUUAUUACUUUAUAUAAAUAUUUUAAUAAAUUUUAUUUCUUUAAUGCUACUAUAUUAAGAAAGGAAAACCAUUUUAAUUUUUUUUUUAUUUUUUAUAUGUAUAUUUUUUAAAAAAAUUAAAGGGCUGGUCCGGAGUCCGGCCAGGCACGGCACGGCACAGGCCGUGCCAUUCGCGCAGGAGGGCCGUGCUGGUCCGGGCAUUCAAAAAAUCUGGUACGGCCCGGCCUAGAUUCUAACCAGCCGGGCCGGGCCGGGCCGGACCGACCUCUGCCCGAUCUGGCCCGGUUGAAUGUGGGCCGUGCCGGAUUUAAACCCCUAGGUGUGUAUGGGCAAAAUGGAGGUUUUCGGGGUCAGGUGUGAAUAGCAACCUUGCAGUAUAUGUAAAGAGCUAAAAAUUAAAAGAUUAAAAAAAAACAAAACUAAAAUUUUUUUUUUUUGCUAAACUCAGUACUCAAAUGUUAGUUUUGAUUCCAGGCACCAAAAUCCCUUAAAAAAAAAUCUGGAUUUUCGGAAGCAUUAAUAUUAAGGAAUGAUUUGUCGAAAAUGCUCGAAAAGCUGAAUCUCCAGUUUGCUCUUCUUGGGGCUUGUUUGUUCCGACGAGCUUUGUAUGGAAGUUCUAUUUGAGUAGAGCUACUUAAAAAACCACCAACAAUCUUUUUACUAUAUUCGAAAACAACUUCAAAAAAAAUCUUAGGAUUAAUUUCAUACAGGAUUUUGCAAACAUAAUGAAUUACAAAUAUAUUUCUACAAACUUCAGCUUUCAUAUAUUGUCUCUGCAAAAAUUCUAAUAUUUUCAAAUAUGGCCUUACCGUUAGAAUCCGUUAGAAAACUUUAGUUAAUCAUAGAUUAAAUGCUUAACCCGGUUAGUUUAUGAGAUAACUCGACAUUUUAGCCCCUCUUAUAUUAUACUUUUGUGGCUUUCGAAAAGACAUAUUUGUGGCGGCAAAAAUGACUUUUUUACUUAAAAUAUAAACAGUUAUAUAAUGGUAACAAAUAAGAAGAAUAUAUUUGAAAAUAUUAGAACUUUUGCAAAAACAAUAUAUAAAAGCUGAACUUUGUAGGAAUAUAUUUGCAAUUCACUCUGUUUGUACGGUGUAUGAAUUUAACCCAAUCUAAUCUUGCUGCAACAGAAACAAAAGGAGCUUCUUGAUUCUUGGGCACAGAACCUCGUUUCAGCUUUUCACCAUAAUAAAAGCUCUGGACCUCACACAUAAUAAGAUCUCUGGGGAUCAAUUCAUAGAAUCCACAUAAUGGGUUGGACAAUGGAAUCGAUAAUAAUAAGAUAAAGGGUGUUACAAGGAAACUCAAUAACAAUCAAUAGUAAGAUCCAAGGGAUUACAUAUAAACUCAAAUUGUCUUAUGCUUCUCCUUUUCUUCUUCUUUGUCGUCGUAAUCGUCAUCAUCAAUCGUCGUCGAGGGUGACGAUGGUCGGGAUUUGGCCGUGAUUGACGAAGUCAAUCUUGUUCAGUCUCACGCAGCAGAGGACCUGCUCCGGGAGCUCCUCUUCCUUCUGGGCCUGCAUCAAGUUUCAAUCCAAAAAGAGUCAAUUGAGUCAUGAAUUCACCAUACACUGGCACAAAUUUAGGGCGCGGUUCGUACAAAAUAGGAACCGGAAUCAAAUUUCAAAAAUGUAGCAAAGUAGUUAUUACUAUCUCCAAGUUAAAUGAACCAAGAGGAAUAGAAAGUUUUCGAUGAAUUGUAGGCAAAACUUACCUGGAUUGUAAGACCCAAAUCAAGGAUUCCGUGCUUCAGACGUUCCCGAAAUGAUUCGAGUCCCUUUCUCGAGAUGUAGCUGAACCGGUGUAUGUCGAGGUCGAUCUCAAAGUAGUUAGGUCCCUGCAAGAAAUUGAAAUUUGAUAGUUACUCAGUUUUAUUGCAUCCUUUGUGCCCUAAAAGGAAAAGAGAAAAAAAAAAAAAAAACAAAUCAUUCUAAAUUUCGCUGGCAUUGUCGCAGUCAUUUGAACACACAUCUUGCUGUUGAUAAGAUAAUUUCCUUAACCUAAUUAUAUUUAGUUUGACUAUUAAAGCACUUAAUAAAUACAAUUAUGAACCUUAAGAUCUGAAAUCUCACAUAUUCCUUUCAGAAACUUAAUUCCUUACCUAUAUAUACCCUUGUAAUUACGAAAUUUCCUCUCUUUAAGAAACUUGUUCUAAUUUUUUUGCAUAUUUGCAGGGUUAUGUACGCACGCAAAGACGAAGACAAAAAGCCGUAGUAGAAUACUAUGCAACAAAAUUUUACCUUGUAGAAGUUGUGCUGAGGACGCGAAAGCACGGGCUUUUCUUUGUAAGAUUGAAUGAGCUUCCUCUCCGCGCCACUCAAAUGGAGAUCCUCUGGAUUAACCACCCCAGCCAUGAUCUUCAACCUUUCUCUAAAAGGAACAGUGGAUUCCUUUGCAAACCCUUUAACCUUUUCAGUUUCGUCCUCAAUAAAUCUCUGCAAGGAACUACAACCACUUAGUUCGGCCUCCAUGAAAAGUGGUUGAAUAUACUUACCAGAAAAGGAAAUAUAUAGUCAUUAGCAGUUAUUUUCAUGCAGUAGUGCAUAAAUAAAAGAAUGAAAAUGGAUUGGAUGGUGAUUGAAGAAAUACCAGUGUCGAUUUCGAUUUCCUGAAUAAUGUAGUGUAUACGAUAUUACGCGGAUUGGAAAUCUAUUUACUUAUGUACGUAUCUAGGUAAAAACCGUAUGAAUAAUGUAUCAGGAAACUAUAUACAUGUUAUCAAAUUAUCAUAUUGUGACGUAUAAUAUUGUAUCAUGCCUAUGGAUGUGGGUAUGUAUUCAGAUACAUGUCGGAAUAAGGAAGCCUAAUCCCAUAGCUAGUAAAACUCAUUUUGGAACAGAUGAUAAAUACCACCUCAUUUUCGACUCAUGGGGAGACAUACAGAUGAGUCAGAAGAAGCAUACCCUUAUCAAAUCCUUGAAAUGUGCAGAAACCUCCUUCUCAUAGCACUCGGAAAUUUUGAAGUACAAGACAAGGCUCAUUCCCUCCCCAUCACUAUCUCCAAGAAACAUAGCAGCAGGAUAAGUAGGCAUCUGUGAUGACAUAAAAUGAAUGAAGCUAUAAAAACUGAUUUAACCACAAAUCUUUUAUUUCUCUUUUUGCAGUCGACAACUUAACCAGUCCCUGGAAAUAUUGUGAUUUGCGCUUUAUCCACACUCGAUAACCAAAAACUAUGGAUAGCCACUUAAUUUAUCAGAAAAUACUGCACAUUUACCCCUCAGCAGAAGAGGAAAAGGCUAAAGUUUCAUACAUCUUGAGGGACUGGAGCACAAGUUGCGAUAUUUUCGGUAGUUUUCUAUAAAUUAGCUUUUCGUUAUUGUAUAAAUGUUCCCUUUGUUUCUACGUACUUGGAUGUUAACGAUUAGGAGUGAGGGAAGCUUCUCGUGUGGCUUGACAUGUGGAAGUUCGAUGUGUUGAGCAAUGUGAUGAAUCUUGCGGGGGCAUAUGAACAAAUCCACGCCAAUGGGAUAAUACGGGGCGUAAUUUGCAGCAGGAUAUUUCUUCUUGUCUCUGCAUUAUAAUUUUCAGGGAAAUACAUAUCAAAUCACAAAGUACAAGGUCCAACAGUUGAUUGUAAUCCUCCAGAGAAGGUAUACAAGUUAUGUUAAAGCUUAAAUUCAUGCCUGAAAUAACUUUCUCCGCGAAGGUUGAAAGUAGAAGGUUCAAGAGCAGACCAGCAACCUGCAGUUGGUUUUUCUCCAGGAGAACAUGGAAUUACAUGACCGGCCCUCGGAUGAUAUAAGAAUUGCUUUGAGGCACCUAUGCACCAAAAAACAUCAAGAUCAUUUUAAUAAAGGAUUUUUUUUUAAAAAAAAACCACUGUAAUUUUGCAAACAUGCACAAAUAGGCCUGCAUGUUUUUUUGGAAUUCAUGCCCUUGAAAGCUGUCUUUAAUUGUAUUCAUGCACCUGCGAGGGGAGUUAAUGCAACAAUACAUUUGCAUAGAUAACCACGGCUGUGGCGUGUUCUAAGCAAGGUUUUCAAGGGUACACACAAGUAGAAAAUGAAAACUUUUAAACUAGGUUCUAGAGUCCAUUAUUUUAUAUAUAAGGUUCUGAUUUGGAUGAAUAAACAGUGCAACAAAAUCUGAAGAGAAUACAAAGACAAUAAAGAUUGUUGUUGUAUUAAUCAAUCAAAGAGAAAUGUAGAUGUGCUACUAAAUGUUGUAAAUGAAAUCCUAAUCAAGAAAGCAGAUAAAUCUAUUCAGAGACAAUCCAUAGUGAAGGCCAAUAUGAACAAUAGAAGAAACUUUUUUAUGAGGCGUAACGAGAAAACAUUGCGUUCCUUUCAAAAGGAAAAUCUUCUAAAAUAUAAAGAUGAUCAUACUUACAAUAUUCAGUUGUUUCUUCUCCAUCAAACGACUUCCUCUUAUACGAAAGCCUAAUUACAGCUGAUUUUCUUUUCUGAGACGUCGGGCUGGCACUAGGGAUCUGGUACAUUUUAUCAUUGAAACUAAGAGACGAAACUAACUUCUUUAACCUUGACGGCAUCUUGCUUUCAUGAGACUUUUCUUCUGUCUCCUUUCUCACUUUCAAACCUUUAAAGCUACCAUACGAAUCGGCUAAAGUUCUUUUCUUUUUUGUCAAGAAAUCCACGUUUCGGCUUUUUAAAGUAGCCUCAUCAGCUUUUCCCACAAGCUCGCAACCUUGUGGAGUGCUUAUCAAUGCAGCUUUGUUCUCAUCUUUAAGCUCAUUGUUGCUUAGCGGCUUUUCAGGUUUACCUCCAUCUCUUUUUAAGUACUGCUCGAUGGCCAAUGCUAUCGGAUCGUCAUUUUGGAACUCAUCAAACUUGCACAUUGCACCGACAAAUCGCGAAGCAUUUUCAUACUGCAUCAUUUGAGUUCCGAUUGCAUUUACGGAUGGAAAGCCAUCUGCAUUUAAAUGGAAAAAGAUCAUAGAAGGAAAUUAGAUAGGCAAUAGUGUGCAAACCAAUUAUCCAAUUGACUAUGCUAUGUUGUUCUAGGGGCUACAAAUUAAGCCCCUAAAGAUUGGCCUAAAAUUCAGUUAUGUCCAAGUUUCAAUUUCACCAAUUUAGUCCUUGAAAGUUUGGUCUGACAACAGUGCUAACGUGGCAUCUUCUUGCGGAUAGUAGAGUAACCGAAAGACCAAGUUAUUAUGCAAAACUAUGGGACUACAUUGUUAUAGCUGAAACUUGAGGGCAAAAAUGAAAUCUUGGGUCAAACUGUCAACGACUAAAUUUGUAACUAACCCAUUUCUGUACCUCCAUGAACACUGCUGAAAUCAUCAUCAGAAUCAGAUUCGAGAAUACUGACAGAGUCGAACCAGACAUCUUCUUGGCAUAACCCUGCAAACAUUUAAGUCACCAGUAAAGGAAUGCUUUUUUGCAUCUUCAUAACAAAUUCAAGUAGUAAAUUGCAAAACAAAAACGUACACUAGAUAAUGAGAAGUGCAAAGCAACUACACUUAAGUCUUUAGCACAGGAAUAAUAUCGUGAACUUGUGGUCAGAUAGGUAAAAUAACAACUGCCCCAUGCUUAGACCGGUGUCCUUCUCUUUAGAAUCUAAAUUGCAGGAAACCUCCAUCAAAAAGGUCAUUUUGCCUCCCUGAAAUAUUGAACCUAAAUACGACAGUAACGACACCAUUAGUUUAUAAGAUGUCAUCACUUUGUCUCCGUCGUCAACGUUAUUCCAGGCAAUAUUUCUCACUUUGCCCAUAACUUUCAACGGGGGUUAAAAGGAUGGUUUCCAAAUUUUAGAAGAGCAAUGCGACAGCCAUGGAAUUUAAGGAGUGUUUCCUGCAAUUUUUUUUUUAGCCUUCUCUAAAUCAACGAGUAAAACACAUCAAUAGCUUUUCCAUGAUUUUAAGUGAAGGAUAUUAUAAAAUGCACAAGCCUAUAUAACUUUUCUAGCAAAAAGAAUGAUUUAGAGAUGGUAUCAAAAUUUUCAAAACUUUAUCGAAAUAAAGAUAUGAAGUGAGUUACCAUGAGCAUCCAUCUGACUAUGAUGCCAUUGCAUCUGAGUGAGGUGGAAAGUCAAAUUGGAGACCUCCGUCUUCCUUCGAGUAGUCGCAUUAGUCUCAACAUGAACAAACUCGCUGAGAGAAAAAUCUCUCUGCGUUUUAUUCGCAUCGCAAACUGCAGAGGAAAUCUUUUUUUUGUGGCAUUUCCUCGACUUGACUGGGAGUUUCUGUGCUCGGUAUUUGCCGUUUGAUUUUGACACGCAGGCACCCAUGGUGAUCGUUACAGCUACAGACUGCUCAAUAAAUAGCGAAAAGUUCUUCAGAAAUUAUACAGAUCUCUUAGAGAAAAUAAAAAGGUGGCUUCCAUGAACCUGCUCAGAGAAGAGUGUGACUAGCCGAUAAAUAGAGAUUUAAGUGAUUUAUCAAUGAUAGAUACAGAUCAAGUCAUUUGUAUGAAACAUAUUCGAUGUAUUAAUCGUCAUUCGUCAAGCUAACAUAUAAAUAUAUUACUAACAAUGAAUUUCAAUAGUUUGAACACAUAAGAAGGUUUUAGUUCAUCUACAAAAAUUUUGAGAAACAGUAUUGCAAUUUUUUUUUAAGAACAUUUAGAGCACUUAUAAAUUAUAAUUCAGGUCCUGAUGAAUUUUUCGUCAACUAAGGAACUUAAGUUUAAAAAGAGAGAGAGAGAGAGAGAGAGAGAGAGAGAGAGAGAGAGAGAGAAGGUAAUUAUUCAGUAAAUAAGGUAUGAUGAUCAUGAUAAAGAAGUUGUAUCUAUAUUACACAUUUACACCAUAUCGAAACUAACCGAGAAUCAGAUGAUGUCAUAUUUUCUAAAAUAGAUGGCUUCCCUGUUUUAUCCUCAGAUAGCAAGUUCCCCAACAACUUUAGUAUAGAAACAUAAUUUACUCACAUGAUGAUUUACAAAUAAGCCCCUCUUCAAUUGGAAAAGGAAAAAGUAACAUUACAAACAGAAGCUGCAAUAGGAGUCAGAAAAUAAUCGCCACACAGCCAAAAAGAUUAAGUAGAUAAGACAUAAUGGGUUAGUCGAAUAACACAGCUCCUGAGUAAAAAUAAAAAAAUAAAAAUCUAUGAAUCAUAAGAUACGUAAUGUGAAUAAUCUAAGUGAUCAAGAAAACAUAAAGAUAAAGAUAUGCUGGAAAGGAAAAUAUUCUUGCUCCAACUUUGCUUGUGCAUCCAGCUUAUCCAAUACGAUACAAUACAUAAUAUGUAAAACUAAUCUAAUAUAACGACUAAUUAGCAUCAGAAAUGAACCAAAAUCGAAGCAGAAACAGCUAGAGAUCAGGGUUUCACCGCGACUGAUGCGCAAAGAUGUAAGUUCGAGAUGAGCACGCAGCUAAAGGAGGGAGAAGUUCCACUCAAGCAACAUUAAGAGACUCAAAAGGGCCCAGCCAUUCCCUCUACAUGAGAAAUACUAGUAGAGCUUCUGAAUCAUCAAAAGAGAUAACCAUAAUUAAUUUGGCUUGUUGGUAGCAUGGCAUUUUAAAAUUAGAAUGAACUAAAAUGAAAAGGUGAAACUAAAAUAUCAGCUAUCAUACUCGAGAGUGAAGGUUGCUAGUUAAUUUAAAAUAAGCAUGUAUGAUUAAAAAAUUGUCAACUACAUGUUAAGGAUGCUGCAAAGAACCUUCUUUACACAGCAACAAAUAGAUUAUAGUUUUCUUAAUUUCUACAGUAACAUGCAAAAGUAGAUACUUUAAUAAAAAAAUUGAGAGCAUUAGAAUUGAAGCAAUAUAUAUAUAUAUAUAUAUAUAUAUAUACAUAUAUAGAGUCCGGCUACUAUGCUAUUAAUAGCACGAAGCACUUGGUGCUACCAAGUUUUCCGCCGUUAUAUAUAUAUCUGUGAGUGUCAACGUUUUUUUUAUUAAAUUACCACAAGCAUUGAUUCUACAGCCAAAUAAUAAAAUGAACAUAAAUAAUUUUCAGUAAAAGAACGUAAUGAGAGAAAUUGCCAAAUAUAGAAACAUGGAGCUUUUUGUUUCAUUUUUAAGAAGGGGUCAUUACUUUAAUUAAUAACAAGAUAAAUUUAUAUAAAUCACGUAUUUACAUUACAUACUAACCCAAACAAAAACUUCUCUCCCUUUGCAAAACAUGAAGGCUAAAUUAUAAAAAAGUCUGCUUACACCUUAGUCCCUGUCUUAAUUAUCCCCUGCAUUAAAAAUUGCGUCAAUUACCUUAUUGCACUUUGCCACCAUCACAAAUAGAUCCAUAAAUUUAAAAAAUUGGCAAAUUACAUUAUAAAACUUCACUAAAAAAAAGUUGGCAUAUCAUAUUAUUUCACAUCUUAAUGCCUAUUUACUUUGCAACUCAAAAAAUAAAUAAAAUAUUUAGAGAAAAGAGAUCUCCUAUGUUGCUAAUAUUAUCAAAAUUGAUAGUUUAUUGAGCAGUUUCAUUCAAAUCAUAUAAUUCUACUGUAUAACUUAUAGGCAACUUCAAUUGCAAACUAAUUUUAACAAAGUUUUAUAGCUGAAUUCAACAAUCAUCACAAAUAGCUGGACACAUUUCAGAUUAUGGUAAAGUGCAGGGGAUAAUUUAAGCAAUUUUUAAUGCAGCUAUAUAAUUGAGACAGGGUUAAAGUGUGAAAGAGACUUUUUAUAAUUUACCCAAACAUGAAUUUCCACAUACUUACGCCCCUAAAAAUCGCCCAUUCUUACAAAAAAUUCCAAAUUCGAAUUUCUCAGGGGCGUGUAUAUAUUUAAAUAAUUAUACCACCCAAAUAGUAUCAUUUUUUUUGAAAGAUUAUACCAAAAAAAUUACCCCACCCCAAAAAAGAAAAAGAAAAAUUCAUCUUUGAACAAAGAAGAGAUCAAAGAGAGAGAGAGAGAGAGAGAGAGAGGGAAAAAAAUAAAGAAAAAAAAGAAACCUGCUUUUUUAAUUUGAUCGGAGGUAGUAUCCCUUCGCGGAGAUUACAUCGGGCGAUCCAUAUAACAAACAAUGUGCGAUGUGGAUCAUAGGAAAUCAAAAAACAAACGAUCUAUGAAAUUAACGAGAAAAAUGGGUAAAAAUAUGGGGGGAAUUGGGGAGGUGGGGUUUCCUCGGAGAUGUCUCUCCCCCACCCUCUCGCUUCGAUCCCGGAGAGGAUAGAGAGAGAGAGAGAGAUGAGGACGAAGAAGAGAGAUAUAAAGAGAGAGAAAGGAGAGGAGAGGAGAGGAGAGAGAGAGAAGGGUCGUCGCCAUUGUUGCUAUAUAUAGCUUCUUGUUGGGGCUUAGACCACCUCGAAUUGAGGGAGAGAGAGAGAGAGAGAGAGAGAGGAGAGAGAGAGAGGUGAGAGGAAGAGAGAGAGAGAGAGGGGGGUGGGGGGCUAGGGAUAGAGAGAGAGAGGGGGGAGCGCGCGCGCCGCCACGUGGAGAAGAGUGAGUGGCGGAGGAGGAGGAGGAGAGAGAAAUAUAUUUAGUACACCGAGUGUAUGAAAUUGGUCCACUCGGUACAUAAUAUUACAUCACGUGAAAAAUAGUAUUUUCUCAUACGCUCGUACACCCGGUUUUAAUAAAAUACUAUUCUCCACGCCACAUAUUAAAAAGUUUGCGCCUUUUCAUUUUAAGGUUAAUGUUAUACGCAUAAAAAGUUCUAACAUUUUCAAAAUAUAUUUCAGUCUUUAGUAUCUGCUAAAAAAAUUUAGUUAAUCAUAAGUUAAAUACUUAAUUCUAUUUAAUUUUUGACAUUUUAACCCUUUAUAUUAUAUUGUUAUGUCUUUUAGAGGAAUAUAUUUGUGAAUGGUAAAAUUAAAAUAUAAACAGUUCUUUAAUGGAUAACAAACCAGAUGGAUAUAUUCGAAAACAUCGUGACUUUUGCAAUAACAAUAUAUAAAAGUUGAAUUUUGUAAGGAUAUUUUUUGCCAUUCACUAUGUUUGUAAGGACAUGUAUAAAAUUGACCAUAAAAUACAUACCUUUAAUAUUUCGUGGUUUUAUUUUUCUCUUUCUGUUAUUCCAUACAUUAAUUUAAUUGUUAAAUCAGUGACAAAGUUAAAGUCACAAGGCCACUAAAGUGAAAACUCGGUAAACCUCAGGGUACACUACAAUGAAUAUUCAAGAAAUUAUAGAUGAGAUAUCUGAAGUUUUUUGUAUAUAAUUUAGUAGAGAUUUAACGGUAGUAAUCACGAAAAGAAAAAAAAGAAAUCACACAAUACUAAAAUAACCCUUUAAACUACAGGAUAUUAAAAUAAGAAAGCGCGAAACCAAAGAAGUGGUAUUUGAAGUUUACCCUAUUAAAAAUGCUACUCUCUGGUCUC
rnacentral:lncRNA from 1 species